UGAGGGCCAACAUCUCAGCCUCUCUCACGUGUUAUGUUGCACAGACCUUGUGACUCUGCGUUGCGCGGUGUUGUAAUCUGAGUUUACUUUGUUUAUCGGGAUGGGUUAUUAUCAUGUAGUGUCGUGGACUGAAUAUUGAGUGCGUAGUAAAUUGCAAUGUACCGUGGACUGGGUAUUUUGAAGUCGUUGCCAGUUAUGACACUUUAUUUACUUUUGAAUGCGCAGAUGACUUUGUUGACUUUGGAAUGCGCAGAUGAUCUGCUACGAUCUUCUUUUGGGUUACCAACAUGUUUUUCAUGAACUGUUUCGAAUUCAUGAACAUUUUUUGAAUUGACGAAAAUUUUCAAACUCACAAACAUUUUUUGAAUUUAUGAUUUUUUGCCGAUUCAGAACAUAUUUUUAAAUUCUCGAACAUUUUUACAAUUCAUGAUAAUUUUGAUUGAAUUAUUUUUCCCGAAAUUCAUGAACUAUUUUGAAUUCAUGAAUAUUUUUCAAAUCCUUAACUUUUGGAAUUGACGAGCAUUUUGAAACUCGCGAAUAUUUUUUGGGUUUGCGAACUUUGUCUGAUUCAUGAACAUUUUUUAAAAUGGCCAAAUAUUUUCAAAUCCAUUUACAUUUUUAUUUCAUAAAUAUUUCUAAAUUCAUGAACAUUUAUCAAUGUAAAAUGAAAGAAAACGCAACAUAAAAAAACUGGAAUUAUUUUAUAUGUAUAACUUAUGAAUUAAAAUACAAGUUAAAAAACAAAAAAUAGAAAAAAAAAACAGAAAACCGUGCUAGCGAUCGGACGUGCCAAUGGGCCGGCCCAACCCAGGAGCGCGAGACGCUCUCACCAAAAAACCUAGCGAUGCGAGCGUGCUGGUCGCGUGAAGCAAUAUACAGCACCUCCCGAUCCCAUUCCCAAUCUCGCUCUGCCUUGGUGCUAUCUCCAGUACAGCUCCGCCGCCCGUGGAUCUACUACUUCAUCUUCGCCCGGCUUGAUAGAAAGGCAACCACUAUUUCUUUUCUCUGUACGAUGAGUUGAAUUCUGCUCUAAUUUUUUCAACUUUCUGAUUUCUGUUAAAUUUAUUACCGCUCAGGACAUGCGCCUCCAUUAAUCCAUCGGCGGCGGGGACAAGGUGAUUCAACCUGGUGCCAUGGGCGUCCGGCGGUUUCUGAAUCUGUUUGCGGCGAGCCGCCCGGGCUGCAUGUACUCGUUGCGCCGCUUCGAUCUGUCCCGCAACCAGUUCUUCUACACGACACCGGAAGAAGUGACUCUGCAUGGGCGAGUUCUGCCGCGGGUACAAAGAGAUUCUGCAUCAUAUUCAUCCCUGAAAAAGGCCUGCGGCAGGGUCAAGAAGCAGCAAGCCUCAGAGAUCGGGACGAUCCGGUUGCCGGCACGACUCUUCAACACGCGGCCGCCGCCAUACCCGACGCCCAAGUGCGACGAGCUCAGAAUGGAUGCGUUCGCUCUCUCGGAGCGCAGCAUCGUGUUCGCGGACCGCAAGAGGCACGUCUUCACCUACGACGCCGACUCGGACUGCUUCGUGACCAUGCCCGGCCUCCACGCCCCCAAGGAUGAUCCCUUGGCCGUCUCCGUUCCACACCCCGGAGGCGGGGAAGGCAGCCUCUACGUGAUCGAGAGGCUGCUCCGUCCCGGGAAGAGCUUCCAGUUCGAGGCCCUUGUCUCCGGCCAGCACUACAAUGAAUACCAUCCCUGCCGGACCUGGCAGUGUGAGGACCUCCCGCUGCCGCCCCUGGAAGAAGACGUAUACCUCGGCUCUGUCGCGGUGGUGGGCAACGUGAUCUGCAUCUCUGCAGAUCACUUUGGCACCUACUGCUUCGACACGGUGAGCCGCUCCUGGAGCCGUGCCGGUGACUGGGCGCUGCCCUUCUUUGGCACCGCCGAGUAUGUCCCCGAGCUCAACCUCUGGUUUAGCGUCUCCGACCAGGACUACCACUUGCCUUGCGCGGCCGAUCUCUCACCUGUCCUCACCGGGCAGCGGCCGGAGCCGGGCUUGAUUUGGGCGGACAAUUACCAGCCGGAGGAGUGGCAUCAUAGCGGCCAAAAUGGUCAGCCUGGGUUCUGGCAGGUUUUGCAUUAUCAGGUUCCUUGAAACUCAGAUACCCAGCAUCGAUACUGAGCUGGUAUUUGUGGACAAAGCGUAUGCUGUCUUCACUGGUCUGGAGGUGGUGUUAGCUGGGAAGGGCAAGGGCAAGGGCAGAUAAACGGUAAUAGGAAUCGUGACUCCAACUUCAUCGAGUGUAUACUCUGAAGUCUCUAUGCAUCAUCUUUUAAUUUGUCUGUACCGCAGGAAGAGUAUUAUAAGAGACCCAUUGCAUCUUAAGACAACUUCAUCUUUGUACAUCAAAACGGACAUCACUCUCGGAAGGAACGAACUUCCUUAACAAGCAAAUAAGAUACAGUAAUAGUGUUCUCUAAUUACAGUGAAGAUCAAUGUAGAUCUAGUUCUUGGGCAGGAGCACUUCGCGGACCAGCUCGUCGAAGUUUCGGUGAGACGAGCCUCCGGGCAUGACCGCCUUGACUGCGCUCUCCUUCCACUCCUGCGCUCUCUUCCUCAUGCUCUUCCCCUUCUCCCCUUCCAUGAUCUCCGUGAUAAGUCCGGCGACGGUGUCACGCCGAACGUUGCUGUCGAUCUCCAUGCCGACGCCCCACUCGUUGCACUGGUACCUGCAGUUGGUCUGCUGGUCGGCGAAGAACGGCCAGCUGAUCACCGGCACGCCGCCGCACAAGCUCUCCAGCGCCGAGUUCCAGCCGCUGUGCGUCAGGAACGCUCCGACGGCAGGGUGGUUCAGCACCUCCUGCUGCGGGCACCAGGACGCCAUGAGCCCGCGGCCAGCCGUCUCGGACAAGAACUCCUCGGGGAGCACCGCGGCGUCGCCCUUCACCAGGUCUCGGCGGACGAUCCACAUGAACUGCUUCCCGCUCUGUGCCAGUCCCCAAGCGAACUCCACCAUCUGUGCGCUGGUCAUGACGGUGAUGCUGCCGAAGUUGACGUAGACGACGGAGCCGGGCUCCCUGCCGUCCAGCCACUCCAGGCACUCGUCCUGCUCCUUCCACAGGCUGAGGUUGAUGGCGCAGCGCGGCGAGGGCGGCUCCUCGUGCGCCAGCAGCGGGAGAGGCCCGAGCGUGCAGACCUUGGGCAGGCCGAGCGCCUCCAUGGCCUCCACCGCCUCGCCCUUCAGGUCGUCAAAGCUGUUGAGGAUGACGGCCGACGCGCCGGCCGUGCGCUCCGUCUCCCGCAGGACGUAGUGCACCAUGUACUCGUCCGGGUCCGUGGUGCGUAUGAAGGACGGGAAGUCCCUGAGCCUCAUGUUCCUCAAGCCCGGCACAUCUUACACCGGUGUAUCAAGGUAUCCGUUCGUCAGCUGCUCAGCAUCUGCACGCAUAAAGUCAAAUAUUCAGAUAAGAGCUUCGAUCAGCAGCUGAUAAUGGCAAAGCGUCUACGUGCUGGAGACGCAACGUGCGCUGUAUCGAGUGACGGGAGCACUGACCCGGGAACAAACUACCGUACGUACGUACCUUUGAGUGGGGCGAGGCCACGGCCGAUGAGGAGGCGGUAGUGGCGGUAUCCGAGGUAGCUGAUGGCGCUGGCGGUCCAGAGCUGGACGUAGGGGAGGCCGAGCUCGUCGGCGGCCUCCAUGGAGAACCCCAUGACGACGUCGGAGACGACGCAGGCGACGGGCGGGUGUCCGGUGGCGGGGUCGUUGAGCCGGGCGAGGAGGUCGCGGAACGGCCCGAGGCAGGUCUCCGUGGUGGACUUGCAGAGCGCGGGGAUGUCCUGCGUGACGUCGUCAUCGUCGGACGGCGGCAGGCCGUCGGGGAUGGUGGCGAAGCGGAAGCCCGGGAGGCCGUCCACGGCGGCGGCGCCGCGGGAGCGGACGAGGCGGGCGUGGUUGUACUCGGUGUUGACGAAGGUGACGUCGAAGCCCCGGGCGUGGAGCAGCUUGGCCACGUUGAGCAUCGGGGUGAUGUGCCCCUGCGCCGGGUACGGCAGGCACACCGCGUGCGGCUUCCCGGCGGCAGGUCCCAUCGAGCCCAUCUCCUCCGCGGACGACUCCUAACUCUUCGUGUGUGUGCUUCGAGCUGACCCAAGAUCGGUCGAUGGCAACAAUGGCUUUCUCCUGGCUGAACUCUCGUACGUGGCCGGCGCGCUUGCUUCGUUUCGUAGCUUGGUUGGCUGGGGAUCGAUGUGAAUUGACUGCCUCGGCACGGGCGGCUGUAUUUAUAGGCAGCUUGCUUCAGGUAGCACUGCUCCAUUUUGUAUCAUACUGUAUUAGUAGGAGGCUUGACAGUGAGAAUCGCCAUUUUGUUAUAAAUAACGCAAGUGAAGACGUAUUAGGAUCGUGUUGGUUGGACGAGUAUAUUGUUUGUUUAUUGCAACAUGGCUGCUUCGAGGAUGGAGACUUGUUGGUCACUUGGUCCUCCACGGAAAGCAGCCGGCGUGUGAUCAUGUGCGGGUCAGCGUGAGGUCGGUACGCGCGCAACGGCGCCGCAUGGCCAACAGCGGCAAGCCGGUAGCCGCCCCGGCGAGCCAUGUGCUAUACGUGCGCGCUGAAAUCGUCACUAAUGCGCAAACCAAAUUAGAGGAGACUCCUUACUAGUUACUCUUUAUGGCUUCAGUUCUGCUGGUGAUCGAUCACGAUCAGACAUCCACAGUGGCUGUGUGCUUGCGUACGCUCCUACUCCUAAAACUAGCUACGUCGAUGGUUAGCAAAUUUGUACAUAUACUCCUUGACCCGUAACAUUGGCCUCUUUUAAUUUGGCGUGCAGUUGCCAUCAUCAGCGUGGCCUCUGGCAAAAACUCUCUGAACGUAAUUCGCUUUGUUUGGAUGAACUGGUGCAUGUGGCAUGCAACGGAUAAGGAUUGGGUCCACAACGACGACCGCUGCAUGCACGAUGUGAUCGUUCAGGUCAAAGGGAGCAAAUUAUUGAUGACUUCAGGGAGCAAGCGUCGCCUGGAUAGAGUUGCGGACACAGCUCCGUGAAGUCCCGUCGUGGCCUACUGGCUAGACAUGCGUCGAGGUCCCGUCGUGUCGGGCAAAGGCCCAUUGGAGGCGUCCGUACGUAGGACACUGUAGCUCAUGUUAGGAAUAAUUAAUAUCUAGUAAUUAUGUAAUUAAUCAAUGCUAUGUCGGUACCUUUUUGGCAACCACCCCUUUUGUAAACUGCCAUGUACUGGGUAUAAAUACCCCUAAUUUCCAUCAAUGAGAAGAUGAUCGUUCAUUCCAAUCGUUUGCUCCUCUCUCUCUUUCUUUUCCUCUUCACACGUUUCUUUUCCUCUUCACACGUUAUCAGCACUUUGCCCUAACCUAGAGCGAUUAGGCCACGAUAAGAUCGGCAGCGCCGGCCGAGAGGAAGGUAAGACGUCGUCGCUUGGACAUCAGCGGGAGAGCGAUGCGUAGUUUGCCCUCUUGCUCAAUUACACCGCCGCGGUACCCCUCGGACUGCAUCCUCGUGGUGUGGCGGCGCACGAGACCGUCGGUCUCGGCCAGUUUUCUCACUCAAUGGGUGGCCUCCACCACGACGGCCCAUCGCUGGAUGGCCAGCGGAAGACGUACGGCGCGGCGGGUAGGCACGCAGACGGCAGACCACAGCGGCGCAUCAGUGUCCGCGCCCUCCCUACUUUCCCUUUCUCCUCGCAGUCCGUGUACGAGCACAGAGGAGCCGGCGCGCACGGCGCAGCCAUCCCCUUCGGCAGGCCCGCGGCCAUCGGCCUCGAAACGGGACUCCAGACACGCCGGCGGCCAUCGGCUCGGCGCGGACCUAGGUUUCGGGGCGGCCCCCAUGUCUGCUCUCCACAAACUCGGCGGUGGCGGCCAGCGGAAGUGGUGGCCAACGGCCACGCCCACUCACGGCGCGACGGCCGGCGGAGACAGGGGCGACCAACGUGCGUCCCAUGACGCAGCACGACGACCUUCAAUCGGCGACGCGACGUCCCUUCCAAAUUCUCCAAGAUGGAGAUUUCGUCUGCGCAGAGCGAAAGCCAACUGAAUCACGUUCGUGGCUGUACAGAUUUCAGAGAACGACGAUCGAAAGAAUCUUAUCUCUUUGUCUACUUGACAUUUUAGCACUUCUCGUUACACUUAAUGGCAUAUAAGUUUAUAACUAGCAUAUAGGCCCACGAGAUCUCUGUUUUUACGCAGUUAUAUUCUCAAUCCUCUGCUAUUUUGUAUUGCAGGCUGUCAGGCUUGAUACUACUUCCACACAAGCCAUCAGGCUUAUAGUUAUCUUAGACUUUGGUUAAUAACUUGUAGUAUCAUAUUGGUCGAGUCCCAAGGCAUUGUCCCUAUGUUAUUGGGUGCGUCGAUCAUUCCAUCCGGUAUGGAUCCCAAGAUACUAAAUGCAACAACUAUGUUUUGCAAUUGAUUUUUUCUCUCUCUUGCAAAUAUUGACGUAAAUUCAAAACAAUAUUACGAAGUGUCAUACUUAAUAUGACUACAUCAAAUUUUAUUUGUGAAUCACAAGGUAUUGGUGGCAUCUACUGCACUAUUUGCAGAUUAUCCACCACUGUUGUGAGAUCUACGUCUGUCAAUUUGGCAUGAUGACUAUCUUCAACGUGCUCUUCCAAAUAUUAAUGUGAUUAGCCCAAAUUUUAUUUGUGAAUCACAAGGUAUUGGUAGCAUCUACUGCACUAUUUGCAGAUUAUGCACCACUACUGUGAGGUCUACAUCUUAUCAUUUUAACAAGAUGACUACCUUCAAAGUGCACUUCCAAAUAUUAAUAUUAGAUGUGACUACCUCAAGAUAUCAUAAGGUAAUACUGGCAUCUACUGCAAAAUUUUGCAGACUAUCCACUAUUACUGCAAGGUCUACAUCAUGUCACUUUGACAGAUGAUUACCUUCAAAGUGAUUUUCUUAAAUAUAGCAUACCAUAAGGUAAUAGAGAUAUGAACAUCUACUAACAAAAGUCAGAUUGUGUUUUCUAUUACUGUGAGAUCUACACCAUAUUGGUGAUUAUCUUCAAAGUGUUAUCCUAUAUCAAUUGAGGUCUACAUGUAUGGGUAUAAAGCAUCAGCUAUACUAAAAAAUGCUCCUCUGAAGCAUUUGUUGUUGUUCACUAAAAUGAUUUACUCUUAUAGUAAAUAUUAUUCAUACGCAAUCGCUAUCUGCCGAAGUGGUAUCUUGUGCGAAAUCAAGUCUCACUUUACUUGAAUAUGUCAUAGAAAAAUAUGAAAAUAUUUGCAUACCCUGGUGAUUACCUUCUAUUACAUUGGUAAAAUACAUGGCAGUGGAGUCUAUGUCACUAUUUCUAAUUAUAGUGUUGUCCAUCUGACAAGAUGGUUUCCAUAAUUUAUGGCAACGAUUGAGUGUCUCAAACACUUUUGUAAGGUCCACAUCACAUUGUGGUUAUACUUUCAUAGUGACUAACCAAUGUUAAACAUACAAAGUCUAUACGUUUUGGCAGUGAUUCUAAAGUCACACACUUCCUCAAGAAUGAAGUCCAAAAUAUUAACAACGAUUUCAUCACAUGUGUUGUAUCGAAGGAUACACCUCGGUUCACCAAGGAUCACCUUGGCCAUGAUUGUUCUCAAACGAAUCAUUUUCAUUGCUUACAUUUCCAAAUGCACUAAAUUCAUGAUUAGGUGGGAGUAUUUAUUUUAAGAUGAUUCAUGACAUCAGUCAUUGUAUUCACCUGUGGCAUUAUUGCCACUUAACUCCACCGCCAGGAUAAUGUGUCAUGGCUAUUCUCUUAAUAGCUAAGUAUGUCCAUACACAUUUUAUCUCUCACCAAUUUCACUUAGUUCUAAACUAGGUACACAAUGGACGAAUAUUUAUUCACCUUAAAUAUUUCCCUUAAGAGAAGCAUGCUGCCAUGAGCACAUCGCGAAUGAUCACCCAUUCGUUUUUCCAGACUUAAGUCUAUCGCAGCUCACAACUCUGUCAAUUAAUCAACUUCAAGUUGAGAUACCUUGAUCAAAUAUUUUCAUAUGCAGGUCCGGUUGAAAAGCCCUUAAUACACUUUAUGUCUCUUAUGAUGCUAUUACCAUUUCCAUGGUAAAGAAAUAUAUAAUUUCUUAAAAUCAUCAGAUUCACCCAACGGGUGCUAUACCAUUAUUUGAAAUAUUUACUAGUACUGAGAAUACUAUGCAAGUUAGUGCUCACAAAAAAUGAACCAUGAUGAAUUCAAAUUAAAGUGGAGGCUAAUAGACAACCAAAGACAGAAUUAUCUCUUAAUAGGACUCGGUUGUUUUCAAAUGAUCAAAAGACAACUCUCAAGUUUGUCAAAUGUGUGGUUAUAUAAAUAUUGGACCUAUGAUUACCACACCCUCAAACAUAUGGCCGAACCACACCGCAAAUUUAUUAAAAGGCCAAUAAGUCCAAUGGGAUAAUUGGAAAAAUUUGCAAACCAGAUUCUGGUAAGAAUUGUUUUCGAAAUCUUCAUCAGAAGGAGGACCAAAAUCUAGUGCAGAAAAUGGAGGAUGAACUAAUUUGCACUCAAUAAUAUCGGAGACCUCAAGUAAUCUCCUAAUUAUCCCAACAUAUAAUUAGCCUAUAUUUAUACUACUACAUGUAGUAAAAUGUCCAAUAUCAUAUCCCUUGUAUACAAUAUUCGAUAAAUUUGAAUGUAUGUUUCAAUUCAUACACAAUAUUGUUGCGUACACAAUGAUUUUAUAAGUAUUAAUAAAUUAAAUUAGGCUUGAUAGCCUUAGCCAUCCUGGUUUGGGGAUGAUUAGAAAAUUAUUGACAAUCCUGUUGGUCACAACUUAACAAGUGGCAAAAUAUUCCCCAUAUCAUCAGAUUAUAUGUGCACCACAUGUGCCAUAGGGGGAAUCCUUUUUAAGGAACUCUCACCUUAAAAUUCUAAAUGAGCCACUUAUCCUUCCUUGAACACAUUCAAAAGAUAUAUGUGGAAUGUUGAACCAUUAUCUGGGGUAAUUUAGAUAUUUCAUGGUACUCAUACACACAUUCAUAAAAUGGUUUUAAGUGUGUCUCUUAUCACACAUAACCAUGAUCUUACCAAAUAAAUUGCUUAACUUAUCAAAGUAGGAGCAAAUUCUCCUGAACAAAGGAUAUACCCAUUCGAAUGGACAAUGUCGUUGAACUCAUUUCACGAGAAUUUUCUGAUUGCAUUCAGUACCUUAUGUACAUAGCUAGAAUGGUUUGACUAAAUUUCUUAUCUGAGAUAGUCAAAUGAAUAACAUGACCACUUUAAAAGAAUUGUAAAUUUACCAGCCUCUUGCUGGACACAUACGGCCUUAUACACCGUAAGUAUGAUCUAAAUCAUACCAACUGCGUUUCAUACUACUUUCCCCGUGUAGUUACUACGUGGAAACCAACAAAGUAUUUCCCAUCUGCGAUAAUUCGGUUACAUACCGAUAUCACCACUCCAGCAUACAUCAAUGGGCACUCACAGAAAAUUAGGGAUCUAUGUGAGGAAUUACAAUGUAUCUGUCAAUCAAAAUUAUUCAUAGCCCGUAUGCUGAUUGCAUCAGCAAUAAGGAUAUUUUUCGGCAUUAGGGGGAGAUAAGUACCACAAAGAAUGCCGAGAAAUAAAUUAAAAAUAUUAUUGACAUUCAAUCCUUAUAUCCACGUACUCAAAGAAUCUGAACUAGAAGUUUAGAGAAUCAUAUAUUUGCAACACAUUGCAAAUCUGCCACAUACAUUUACUGAUGACAAGGUGUUAUUAAAUUCUAUAUUCCUGCAGUAAAAUGUCAGAAAGAGUGGAGGUACCCGAUAAACUACUCUUCUCCCCAAAAUGAGAGCAAGAGGGGGAGAAAAUCUGACAACACGAGAGAUAACUUCUCAUAUGCUUCCGCGGAAACAGAGGAAAUCAAAUCCUCAACCAGUAAAUGUAAUUCAACAUCAAGUUGAAAGACACCUCACUGGAUGCUCAUCAUCCAAAGCCCGGCAUAUAUGUGUACAAAUGUUUUGUGCCGGGACAUCGAAACACCUUGACUCCAUUUGUUGUAGGAAAUCACAAGGAGUUAAAAAAGAAUAAAUAUAUUAUCCAUAAACUUAAAUGAUUCCAUUAGAAUCAUAUAAACUAAAGACUACAUUUGUCGACAUAUAUUUCUUCUCAAAUUGAUAAAACCUUUGGGCCCUGAACCAAAAUCCAUGGUAGAGUGCCUCUUGCACUCAUAUUGGUUCACAUAAAAGGAAGCAAGUAACGAAGAAUAGCACUUGCUCUGCAAACGAGUGGUAUUUACCGCAGUAAUACCUACUCCUCAUAAGUAUCUUUCAUAUGGAAUACUAAAAACUUCUCAUUCAUAGACAAAUUCAAUGAGGUGGUGAGAAAGCGAGGCUUGUAGCAAAAGGGUUCACGCGGAGACUCGACAUCGAUUACGAUGUAACAUACCCGCUUGGUAUGAGUGGAUUUAUGUUUCGAUACUAAAUAUCAUUGGCAAUAAAAUAAAAUUAAUAUUAUCCACGCAGUUGAUGGAUGAAGUGGCUACAUACUCAUAUGAAUCACUUAUUUCGGAAAUCUCGAUUGAAGUCCCACUACUAGAAAAAGGCCUACUAAUGGCGCACCUAAUCUGGCCAUUAAUGGCGCAUUAGUGGUGCGCCAUUAGUAGCACGCCAUUAGUAUAUUUUACUAAUGGCGCACCACUGGUGCGCCAUUAGUACCUGGUAUACUAAUGGCGCACCCCAGAUGCGCCAUUAGUAUAUACAACAGUGCGCCAUUAGUAUGCCUCCCAGGGGCCAUGUAUACCCAGGUGCUUUGGCAUACUAAUGGCGCACUACAACAGGAUGCGCCAUUAGUAACUUCGGCAUACUAAUGGCGCACUGUUUAGUGAUGCGCCAUUAGUAUCCUUUGGCAUACUAAUGGCGCACUAUGAUGUGAUGCGCCAUUAGUAUGAAUAUUAGGUUUUUUUAUUUUUUUAUUUUCUGUUUUUUGCACAGGUUACAAAAUGUAUAAUUGGACAAAAUAUAGACAACACACAUCAACAACAGAUUCAUCGAAUACAAUAGAAGAUUAGUCUCUGAAUACAAUUCAUCAUUUUAGUCUCCGAAUACAAUUCAUCAUAUUAGUCUCCGAAUUGAAAAGACCGAACAAAAUGUAUAAGUAUGAAUCAUUAUAUUACAAAUCUCGAGACCGCGAGUUUGUCUUCACAUUACAAGUCGAUAUCGAUCAUCUAAACUACCAUCACAUAGAAGAGAGCUGCGGUCAUCACGAUGAGCAUCAUCACGAUGAAACUCGUCUUCAUCCGGUUCCUCCAACGCUCCCUCCCCUCUCCCGCUAGAUAGCGGGCGUAUCUAGAUUCGGCCUCGGCCCUAGUGGCGUACCCUUUGUAACUGUUACCGCUGAAUCGGUGAACCUGUCUCCGACACUCCUCCUAGUCGUCGUAGACUCCGGAAACCUUACCCUUGUACACGACAUACCACGGCAUCGCUAUGCAGUAGCCAAACGAAACGUUAGUACCAAUUCACAAACAAUACAUAAGCAAUAUAUAAGUAUGCAACAGAACGAUCGGAAGAGAAAAGCAAGACAUUAAUAGCAUCGAUUACAUCUAAGUUGAAGGACUCUCGAAGCCAAAGAGACAUACUACAAGUUCAUUAAAGUUUAAUUACAACAUGAGCCAAUCGAUGUUUCAGAACUAGACACAGCAUCACUGCUUUCGACUCGACUCAAGGGACCGGAGCGUGGAUGAAGCCGCCGUCUAUCGUGGGAGUCAUGAAACAAGGGGCGUUGUCAGCCUGCAUUUGUAGGAUUGUGUCGAUGUCAUUGUUGGACGGUUGAUUUCUGAGGUAGAACUGCCCCGAGGUACGAAGGACAUCUUGAUGGAUGAUUUCCGCAAACUCCGACUGGAUGCGAAAGAAUUCUUGUCUGAUGUCCGCGUCCUGGAUUGCCGACACGCUCGCGGCCCAAUCUUUGAGUCUACUCGGUAGCAGUAGUUGAUGAUAGUCCCGUACGAUCGCCCGCAUGUGAUGGAUGGCGUAGUAGGCACCCUUCUGACCGCCAGGCGGCUGCUUGACGCAGCAGAACGUCGUGUUGUGGGAGAACACGUGCUUGUCGUACUUACGAAUAGGCCUGGUGAAGGUGCCUCCAGAUUUGACGUAGCCGGGGAGAACAUCAUCAAGAACCUUCUUGACAUUUGUGUAGUCUACGUUCGACUGACGGUCCGGGUCGAAAUAUGUGGCCAUGGAAUAUUUGGGGCUUAGGAGGAUGAGCGGCAAUGUGUGUCACUGCAGAAAACACGGAAUGUUAAAAGAAAAACGAUCGAAAUCUAAGAAUUCAUAUGUUACGGGGCGGUUGAGGGGAGGACUUACUCGGGAAAGUAAGGCACGAGGAAGUUGUCCUUAUCUUGGUUUGCCAGAAUGACGCCUUCGAGGUAAGAACUCGCGACUUGCCGGUCCCCAGCGCUGCCCAAGAUCUUGGCACGCAUGUAGAAGGGGUCGACUAUCACGAUGUCCGGGGUCUUAUCGCGAAUGAUCCGCAUCUCCAUACUCAGCGAAAAUAGCCGAACGAAGGUGUAGUGCAGCGGAUGAAGGUUCAACAUAGCGUGGAUGUCAUCAAACCGCAGGACGAUCGUACCCCCGAUGGAGUUAUCCACAAAGCCCUUGCCCUCUGGCACCUUGGCCGCGAAAACCGGGUAUGCCACAUCCUUCUCUCGGAGACGCCGCUUCUCCAAAGAAAGAACACUGUCAUGCAAACUCCGCAUAGCACCGGUUGCAGCAUCGAGCAUAUUUCUCGGUAGCAUCGGCCUACCCGCCACAUGCACCCUCCUCGAGAUAUCCGCAGUUGAAGGUGGCCCGUCCUGAGCACGGAUCGUACUCGGUGCCGGCUGGCCCGCACCCUUGUUAGUCUUUCUUUUGCGUGCCUUCUUCUUGAUCUCCUGUAAUGGGACCGAGUUCUGCUCACAGACCGCCUUCUUGAGUGUGUUGGGGCUGAUCAUAUUUGGCACCUCGCCUAUCUGAGGCUCGGUGAAGUCGGCAGCUGGAGGCGUCUCCUGAGAGCUGAACUGCAGACGACGCCUGUUGCAACUUGGCUUCUCCGCGGUACCAGCUAGAUCGCACACGUCUUUUGUUGGGUUGGGUUCUUGAGAAGGAGGCCCCAUGAAGUCGCCACCAUCCCCAUGAUCGGCAAAGUACUGAUCGAUGUUGGCAAAUGUAUCGUCGUCGUUCUGAUCCUGUGCCAUAUGCAUGUUUGGAUCCAGUGGCAUAGGGAUGUCCGGCACCGUUGCGGCGGUCUUGCCAUGGGGCCGACUUGGCGCCGGCACGACUGGCGGUGUUGUCUUUGGGGUGGUGUCCCCCGCCCCCAAACGAAUCUGGCUCUUCGGCCAAAGCAGGGGCCAGCUCAGGCAGGCGCUGAGGUUCAUCACGUCAUCAUCGUCGGCCCCCAUGGGUCGAAUCGGAGGUAACACCUCGUCGCAGCCUGGCAGCACCCGAACCAGUUGAACCCUAAACAAGUUGGGUGGCAUCUGGGUACCGUGGAACAAGGGGUUGCCCGGUUGAACGAUUUUGCCCUUGGCGACAUCGACCAACUCGUUGUUCACGAAGUGCAGGAGAGUGCACGGAACGUCGGCGGCGCCCUGCGAAAACAUGUAGGGCGUUAGGGAUGCCCAGCCAAAGGCAAGGAGAUGAAGUCCUCGGCCGAGAGAGGCUUAAUUAGUUACCGUGAUGAUGGCGUCGAGCUCGGCUAAUGUCGAGGCACCGCCAAUGGCGGGCGUGCAGUUGACGGAGGGGCCGCUUGCUGCAGAGGUGCCGGCCGGCGUACACCCGGGUGCAUUAAGCUCCCGUGCCGGCGUCGGAGACACCAAUGCCGGCUCCGCCGGAGACACCAAUGGCCCCGCCAUCGCGUUCUGCGAGUUGCUGGCCGUGAAGCUAGGAAUCGGGGGCGGCCCCUGUUGGCCGCCCGCAAUCCACGCACUAAUCCCCUGGAUCAAGGUAGGCACAAUGGCGGUGAUCGUCGCUCCGAGUUGUUGUUGCACUUGCUCUUGGACAAUCUCUGGAAUCCGCGCCACCUGUGCCCUGAGUUCUUGAACCUCGCGCGCCUGGCUUUCCGAGCUGGUCUUUUUCUCCUUUCGCCCAGCAGUGUCAUAGUAUGACGACCAUUUUGUCGACAAGCCUUUGCCGGCCACACGACCAGCUGACGUCGGCUUACUGAGCUUAUCCUUGUUCUUCAUUACAUUCAACGCCCUAUUUAGAGUGGUGUCCCAAGGGUUGCUCUUAGUCGACCCCGCGCUACUGCUUUCAGUCGCCUGCGGAAGGAAUGUGAACCAUUUAGAAAUUUGGCUUCAUUAAUUAGAAUGCAACCAUAUGGAGCUAAUUACGAGGGGGUGUAUUCCUUACCAGAACAAGCUCAAGCGCCCUGGUCUUCGGAUCCGUGGUAAGCUCCUUUGUUUUCGGGUCCUUCUUGUACCGGGCCCUGACAAAGUUCCUGGUCUGCUUGUCACCGUAUUUAUCGAAGAGGGGCGGUAGGCCUUGCUCGGCACGGUCCGCCUCCUCCUUGUCCCAUAUAGGCUCCGCCACUCUGUAACCGCCAGGACCAAGUGUGUGUUCCCCUAAGUUCAGCUCCCGCAUUUCUUUCCCCCACUUACUUGAUUCGGAGUGUGCGGUGCUCGAGCAAUUGAUCUUGAAGUCGUUGUAGUCAUCUUCGGUGAUCGAAGGAUUUUUCUCCUUGAUCUUCUCAUAACUCUCACCUUUCUCGAUCAUUCUCUUCACAUUGCUUUUCCAAGUAGACAGGGCCUUGCUCAUCUUCGUGAGGGCAGCAUUGUUCACUUUAUUCCCUCUGAGGCUUGUGUUUUCAAAUUCAGCGGGGAACUUGUAUCGUUCGUGCAGCUUCGUGAAGAGGAGGUUGCGCAAAUUCCCUCGGUCAGGAUGCCUCAGGUUCUCGGUGUUGAUCGAGACGGUGCUCUGGAGAAUGCACCCGAGCUGAAGCGAGUACCCCUUGACUAUUCGUUCGGGCGCCGUUGGAUUCCCGUCGGAGUCCACUUCAGUAACUUCCUCCUUGAAGGUGCGGAGCACGGUCGGGCGCCGGUCCUUCCGUUGCCUCUUCGGUUGGCUGCCAUCUGUGCGUGCGCCGCCAUCAUCAGUGGUGGCAUCCUCGGCGGCACCAUCAGUGGUGGCAUCAGUGGGUUCAUCCUCGGCGGUACCAUCAGUGGUCUCAGGAUCGGUUGGGAAGGCGGCGUCCUCAUACAAGUGAGGUUGUUCCUCCAUCUCCUAGGACAGCUUCCAGAAUGGCUUGUCGACGCCCGAACCCCCGGCCUCAUCGUUGUUGGCCAUGUUUCUCUCUAAAUAGGAACAAAGUUUGGUCAAAAAGUUGGUUAUUGUCAAGGAACAAGAUCAUGGUCUCAUCAUUUAGGGUUUGUCGACACCGAGGCAUCCUAAAAGCUAAGCUUUUAUCAUUGAGGGUUUUUCGACGCCGAGGCACCCUAAAAGCCUAAGCUUUCAUCAUUUCGGUUUUUAUCGACACCGAGGCACCCUAAAAGCCAUGCAUUAGUCACAAGUACGCCGGGGCACUUGAUCCUACUUAAUUACCUACUAAGAUACCCCGGCCCAUGCAUUAGUCACAAGUACCCCAUAUGUCCUAUUUUUAGCAAAGUCAUGCUAAAAUUCAUGGCAAAUUUCAGCAUGACCUUUGCUGAAAAUAGGACAUAUGGAGUACCCGAAUUUGCCGGAACGGAAGUUAAUCGACAUUCCGGCAAACUCAAGGGCCUCUUGGGUGGACAAGGCAAAAAAGGCCUCCAUCACAACAUGGAAAAUACACCAAGCAGUAUCAUCUCCAAGCAGUAUCAUAUUUGUAAUGACUGAAAAUAUUUACUUCAGGAAAUAUUUACUACUGUAGUUUCUGUUACAAACAAAAAAAAGACUGAAGUUUGUCCUAGCUAUAUUUCAGGAUGAUUUUUCAGUUGCUCAUGCUUUUUACAAAUUGUAGCUACUGUUUUUUAUACCUAAACAAAAUUGCCCUAGCUAUAUUUGCUACUGUUUUUAUACCUAAUUUUUUGCUACUGUUUUUUUAAUUUGCUACUGCUUUUUUUAAUUUGCUACUGUUUUUUUAUACAUACACCACCAAAGUCCAAAGAGUAACCACUUAUUAGCUACCAGGAGUAAGUAAGUAACUAAAUACACUUGUAUAACAAAAUAAAUCAGAAACUUAGUUUUCAGUGUAAUGAAACUAAUUGCACAUGAAAGAACAGGGGUAAAUAUUGUUAACAGAAGACAGCCAAACAAAUAUAUUGCUCUUUAUGAGGUUAUGAGGUUACAGAGUACAAACUUAACUUGAGAAUGACAGUGUUCAAAAUAGUCAAUGAAAAAUUCAUCAGUACUGAACAUAAUUAACAGAAGUUAUUUUGAUGGUAUAUAAGAAUAUUUAUGGAACAAACAACAUGAAGAUAGCUGCAAUCUUAAACAAAAAUCAAAGCACACUUGUCUGUAAAAAGCUAACAAACUAUGUGAUGCUUCCAGCUAAUAUGUUUAGAGAACAGGAGCAUGAGAAAAAAUAACAGAAACUAUAUGAUUUAACUGGUUUAAAAACAUGAAGUCCUAAAAGCUCUUGUUUUUGACUUUGCAUCCACUGAUAAAGAAGAAUCAGAGUAGUGAGCAAGACUGUAAAUGUUCUGAAAAUUAAAAGAAAAGAGUGUUGUCUCAGAACUCAGCAGUUACAGCAGGAGGUACUGUAUUUACUUGGAAAUACAAAUAUGUUCUUCAUUAUCUGCUCAUUACACCCAGAGGUUAUUUUUUGGCAAACAAAAUUGAGAAAUUUUAAGACACUACUGAGUUAAUAUUAGCCGUUGUUUUUUUAAUUUUCUGUUUUUUGCACAGGUCACUAGCUUCAGAUUUUUUCCUCAGGUAUAAGUUGAUGCUUUUCUUCAUAUUUGCCAUAUGAAAAAAUUAGGAUGCUAUCAUCCUAUAUUUUGCCAUGCUAAAAGAUUGUGCCAUGUAGAAAAUUGCCAUGCUAAUCUUUAGAUAAAUACAAAUAGAACAAACUCUUAGAUAAAAAUUUGCCAUGCUAUUUUACAGAACAAACAAACAUUUUGCCACCUUGAUACAUAACUGAAUUUUUGUGUAGUAGGUUCAGAUCUCAUUUUUUGAGCUAUCACACUUUUUUUGUUUACACAGCUACAAUCUUUUGCCAUGGCAAAUCUUGGGACCAUGGUCACAUGGCAAAUGUAGGAUUGCUCUUAGCUAAAAACACGGCAAAUGUAAAACAUGGCAAAGUCUGAAAUUUCCACAACAUGUCAAACUUAUUUCAAGUACCAUGGCAAACUGAAUGUUUUUAUGAAAGUUGCCAUGGCAGACUUUGCUAUGANNNNNNNNNNGGCGGGGCAGCGGCGUCGCGGCGUCGGGGCGUCGGGGCGGAGACGAGGACGACGGGGCGGCGUCGAGGCGGCGGGGCAGCGGCGUCGGGAGAGGAGAGGGGAAGGGGAUCGAGUGCGAGGGCGAGGGAGAGAGGGGAUAGGUUAUCCAACAGGUACAUCCAUACUAAUGGCGCACCUCACCCUGGUGCGCCAUAAGUACAUCCAUACUAAUGGCGCACCCCACCCUGGUGCGCCAUUAGUAUUUUUUUUUUUGAUUUCUGCUCGAGCCAACAGGUUAUCUUCCACCUUACCUGAUCCACACCAAGUUCCCUCUACUAGCUCGACUGGUCAGCAGCCAGUUCUCACACCAGGAGGUCCUGGGUUCGAUUCCCAGGCUCCACAAUUUUUUUUAUGCAUUUAAAAUGCUGUUUGAUAUUUAUUUGUGUUUAAAUAUGUUCAAACUUGUUUAAAUCAUAACAGUAAUAUUUUUUUAUAAGACAGUAAUAAUUUUUUUAAAAAUAUCAUCAAACAGUAAUGCCGGUGGAGCGGGGGAGGGUGCGCGGGGUGCGGGGGGCCGGUGGACCGGGGGGUGCUCGGCGGCGAGGGGGACCGGAUCUGGCGAGGUGGGAUAGCUAGCGAUCGAGAUGGAGGGGGAUCGAGAUCAAGUGUCCAUGAAAUUUAAAAAUAUUCAUGAUAGUUCAAAAAGUGCCCAUGAAAUACAAUCGAGAAAUGAAGGCUACGAUUUAAAUACAAUCGAUCUUAGCUAGCUAUCUGUUCACAAUCUUCUUGCCCUUCUUUUUCGCAAAUGGAGUUCUUCUGUGGAACGGACGUCCUUUAGGUAGGGUGGUCUUGCUUCUUCUUGUGGUGUAUGCUGCUACUUCAUCAUCGUCGUCAUGUUCGAUUCUCGGGUCGCCGUACUUGUCGAAGUCUUGCUCAUUGGCUACUCCAUCCAUUCCGAUGAUCUUCCUUUUGCCUCUCCUCACGACAACACGACUGGGCUUUGACAGGUCGGUAAUGAAGAAGCAUUGGUCCACUUGGGAAGCCAGUACCCAUGGCUCAUUUUUCGCGGUGACGUUUGCGCCUGCGGUCUUGAAUUUGGCUUCGGGUAUAACCAUGGUGGUGAAAUACCGGUCUUCUUUUAGGACGCUCUUGGCCCAUCUGACACGGAACAUCGGGACCUUCUCUCCAGCGUAGCUCAGCUCCCAGAUCUCCUCGAUCCUUCCGUAGUAUCUGUCCUUGUCGUUACCGGUGUAGGAUUCCAUCGUUACCCCGGAGUUCUGAUAACCAUCGCUCUUCAUGUCCUUGGCCUCGGUGUAGAAUGUGUAGCCGUUGAUAUCGUACGCCUCAUAGGUCAUCAGGUUGUGCUCGGCGCCCUGUGACAAGGCGAAUAUGAGUUCUUCCGCGGAAGAAUCCUCAUGUAAAGGGUACGACAGAAGCUUCUGCUUGAACCAACGCGUGAAACAUGAGUUGUGCUCUUUGAGUAUAUCUCCGUCCGUCCUCUGUUGGCCUCGGUCAUUGUACGUCUUCUUAAUAAAGGUUUUGUGCUCUACCACCCAAGGAUCGACCACGUCUAUGUGUUGUAGCGCGACUAGGUUUGCUCUUUCAAAGUCGGCGAGUCGACCCUCGAAGUCGACAUGCAUUUCGCGGCGACCCUCACGGUGACCCCAUCCAGCGAGCCUGCCGAGGUGCCUGUUGACGAGCAGACCAAUGGGGUUCUCGAUGCCUAGAUAAUUCAUGCAGUAGGAGAUGCACUCUUCGGUCAGAAAGCUCCUGGCUAUGCUUCCCUCUGGACGUGACAUGUUGCGAACGUAUCCUUUGAUGACACCAUUCAUCCUUUCGAACGGCAUCAUGCUGUGCAGGAACGUCGGCCCGAGUUGGAUGAUAUCGUCCACGAUAUGGACCAGCAGAUGCACCAUAACGUCGAAGAAUGCGGGCGGGAAGUACAUCUUAAGCUCGCAUAGUAUCACCACGAUCUCUUCCUGUAGCCUUCUGAGUUGCCUCACGCCAACAAACUUCCGAGAGAUGACGUCGAAAAAGUUGCAUAGGCCAAAUAGCGUUUCACGGACGUGCGCGUCCAUGAUCCCACGGAUUGCAACUGGAAGUAUCUGCGUCAUCAGCACGUGACAGUCGUGAGACUUCAUCCCGCUGAACUUCAGCUUCGCUAGGUCUAGGUAUCUGCUUAUCUUCCCCGCGUAACCGUAAGGAAGUUUUACUCCUACGAGGCAGGUGAAAAACUGCUCGAUCUCCUCCUGACUUAGAGUGAAGCACGUGGGAGGGUAGUCAUUUCCGGUCUUCUUGGCCUUUUUGCCUUUGCGACGACUUUCCGUGUCCUGCUUCGCCUCAUCAUCAUCAUCAUAUAUAGCGUGAAGCUCCUGCCUGAUGCCCAUUGAUUUCAAGUCUGCCCUUGCUUUCGGCCCAUCUUUGGUCCUCUCUGGCAUGUUGAGCAGGGUACCAAGCAGACUCUCGCACACGUUCUUCGUGAUAUGCAUGACAUCAAGGCUGUGAGGCACAUGGUGGAUCUUCCAGUACGGCAAGUCCCAGAAAACAGACCUCGUUUUCCAUACCUUCAGCAGCGGCUCUGGCGCCUUUCGCUUCUUUCCCAGCUCUGGCGCCUUUUGCUUCUUUCCCGGCAGUGGGCAGUCUUUCCAAUUUUUCAACAGCUCGUCUAUUUCCUCGCCGCUCCUCGUACGCGGGCGUCCUCGGGGUUCGGUUUCACCAUCGAAUAGAUCCUUGCGUUUUCUCCACGGGUCAUCGUCGCGAAGCCACCUUCGAUGUCCCAUGAACACGGUUUUCGAAGACCCGGGAUCUCUAUCUAGCUGGCGAUACGUUGUGUCAUCCAUGCACCUGACGCAUCCAGAAAAUCCGUGGACCACCUGCCCCGCAAGAUAUCCGUAACCGAGAUAGUCGUGCACCGUCGUGAGCAGCGCGGCUCUCAUAGGGAAAUAUUCUUUCUCUGCGGCGUCCCACGUAUUGGCUAGCGUUUUCCACAGCGUGUCAAGCUCCUCUUUCAGCAGCCCCAGAUACAGAUUGAUGUCGUUCCCUGGUUGUUUCGGUCCUUCAAUUAGCAUACUCAUGUGAAUGUACUUCCUCUUCAUGCACAACCAGGGGGGAAGGUUGUACAUCCACACAAACACAGGCCAGGUGCUAUGUGUGCUUCUCUGGCUGCCAAACGGAUUGACUCCAUCGGUGCUCGCGCCCAGCACGAUGUUCCUUGGAUCGUUCCCAAAUUCUAGGUCUUCGAAGUUCAACGCUUGCCACUGGCUCGCAUCCUUAGGGUGACUCAGCAUCUUGUCUUUUUUAUCUAUCUCUGGAUCAUUUGCGUCAUCUUCUCGCUUCUUCUCCUCCCUAUCCGCGUGCCAACGCAGGAGCUUUGCUACCUUAGGGUCCGCGAAAUACCGCUGCAGAAGAGGAGUGAUCGGAAAGUACCACACCACUUUUCGAGGAGCUUUCUUCCUCUUCUUGUAUCGAGUGACGCCGCACACCGGACAUAUGGUAGACUCCGCGUGCUCGUCCCGAUAAAUGAUGCAAUUGUUCAUGCACACAUGGUAUUUCACGUGCGGUAAAUCCAGAGGACACAUGAUUUUCUUCGCCUCCUCCAAACUGGUCGGGCACUUGUUCCCCUUGGGAAGACGUUCGUGCCAGAAUGACAUGUUCUCGUCGAAGCAUGCGUCGGUCAUUUUGUGUUUUACCUUCAUCUCCAGAGCCAUGAGCGUUACUUUCAGGCGGGUAUCCUCGGGCCUGCAUCCUUCAUACAAUGGAGUAACCGCGUCUAACUCAAGUUGAUCCAUCUUGGCUUUCUCUCGGGCGGCAGCUCUUGCGUUAUCCGUCUGCUUGAGAAGCAGCUCUUGAAUAUGAGGGUCCUGCACCCAGCCCAUCGAUGGUCCAGCGUCGUCUGCUCCGCCGGCAUCAUCAUCUUCAUGAUCAUGCCCGUCGUCUGCUCCGGCAUCUUCCUCAUCAUCAGGUCCUGCAUCUUCUACAUGAUGACUGUGUACAGCAUCACCGUCGUGAUCAUCUCCUGGGGAUUCUUCGUCUUCUCGCCCGCCCGAGCCACGGUGGUUGUCUUGCUGCCCUUCCUCAUUUCUUGCCCGCCCCCCAUGGACGACUUCGUAGUCAUCUUCAUCACCUUGCCACCGAUAGCCAUCCAUGAAACCACGCAAGAGCAGGUGGUCCCGCACCUGCCAGGAUUCCGGGUCCGCAAUAAGGCUCUUCAGCUUGCAUCUUCGACACAGACAUCUUAUCUCCGUCUCGUUCUUUUGAAGCAUCUCGGCCUUUGCGGACCUCAAAAACCUAUUCACGAUGCCUUCGGUCAUCAUGCGGACCAUGAUCGCCUGCGGGGUAGAGCAAAACGAUAUUUUAGAACCAACAAAAAAUUUGGCAUGACUUUCCCUAAAAAUAGGACCAAAAAGAAUGCUUAAUGCCAAAAUUCUCGCCGAAACGGAAAUGAAUCAACAUUCCGGCAAAAUAUUGGCAACUAUCGCAUUUCAAAUACCGGUACACCUCCAAACACAAACACAUAUGCAACACCACAAACAUAUGCAACACCACGAACAUACAUAGAUCUAGCUAGGCCAUAAAAAGUGCAUGUGCACAUUGUUGUAGGGAGAACAAUAUAAAUAUAGCUUCCCCCCUUACUUACCUAUCAAAACAAGGUAAUUUAACCACUUAAAUUGAAUGAAUCUAUGGUGGAAAUGAGGUGAGGAGGAGGUGGAGAGAAUGAAGUGGGGAGAAAGUGAGUGUGGGUAGGAGAGGCUGUCCAAAUUAUCUUGUUGCUGCCCACUUACUAAUGGCGCACCAACUCUAGAUGCGCCAUUAGUAAUCCAGGUUACUAAUGGCGCACCUUCUGGUGGUGCGCCAUUAGUAUGUUUGGACAGGCGCACUAGUUAAAAAAAAACUUUUUAUACUAAUGGCGCACCCUGGGCCAGGUGCGCCAUUACUAGUUACAACUAGUAAUGGCGCACUGUGUCUGGAUGCGCCAUUAGUAUGUUUGGACAGGCGCACUAGUUUAAAAAAAUUGAUACUAAUGGCGCACCCUGGGACAGGUGCGCCAUUACUAGUUACAACUAGUAAUGGCGCACUGUGUCUGGAUGCGCCAUUAGUAUGUUUGGACAGGCGCACUAGUUAAAAAAAAUUGAUACUAAUGGCGCACCCUGGGGCAGGUGCGCCAUUACUAGUUACAACUAGUAAUGGCGCACUGUUUCUGGAUGCGCCAUUAGUAUGUUUGGAUAGGCGCACUAGUUAAAAAAAUUUGAUACUAAUGGUGCACCCUGCGCCUGGUGCGCCAUUAGUAGUUUCAACUCUAAUGGCGUAUCAGAAGGUGGUGCGCCAUUAGUAUAUACUAAUGGCGCACCGCUUGUCUGGUGCGCCAUUAAUGUCAAUCCCAUCUAUAGCCCUUUUUCUAGUAGUGUCCCUGAAGGGCUUAUACUUCCAAAUCCAAAAGCAAAUCGCAACAAGUUUUGUAUAAAACUUCAUAAGUCACUAUAUGACUUGAAAUAGUCGAAAAUCAUAUGGUGCUACCGACUAAAUAAGUUCUUUCUUCAAAAGGAUUACUCGAAUAGUGAUGAUUGUUUAUGUGUUUUAAUAAAGAAAGCAGAAAUUUUAUUUCCUUACAUCACCUCAGUGUAUAUCGAUGAUUUCGUCAUCAAUGUCUCUAAAGGACCUAAAAAUACAUAAAAUCAUCACAAGACGGAAAAUUUGGAUUCAACUAAAUUUAACUUAAGCUUACAACUUGAGCAUUCUCUCAAGAAUACAUAUAUCAAUCUACAUAUAUCCAAAACAUAUACAAGAAGUUCAAUGUGGAUAUAUCAUAUCAAUAAAAGACAUGUAAUAUGGUCAUACUACCCCUGAUAGGGUACAAAUCCAUUCAUACCUAGGGGUGUUAAUGAAGUGAUAUCAGGACCUAAAGUUCUAUAUCUCACUAAUGUCAAAGCACUCAUAUAAUUGCAAACUACGUCAGGCCUGACACUGUAUUUGCUAUCUUUGUUCAGAAUGCAACCCCCAACAAAAGGUAUAUGGUCGAUAUAAGAAAUAUCAGCUUAUAUCUCAAGCUCACCAUAAAUCUUGGAAAUUUCCAUCAGGAAAUACAAGAUAUGGCCAUGAUAUGAUAUAAUGAUAUUGGCUCUUUCUUUGAUCCCAACAAUGCCAUGUCAAUGACUGAAUUUGCUGCAAUAGCCUUCAUAUGGAAGUCAUCUAAAUGGGCUUUAAUGGCUAUUUCCAAUUAUCAUUCUGACAUAAUUGCUCUAUCUAAAAGCAUUGCAAAAUAUGCAUGGUUUAGCAGAAUGAUUAGCCACACUCAAAAUCAUGUGGUUGAGAUUCAGCAGAAUCACACAACUUGAUUUAUCAAGACGCUGCCACUUAUGUUACUCAAAAAACUACAUGUUAUAUGAGGAGCAAUAUCAUAAAGUACAUUGCUCGAAAAUUACCUAUCUCACAAAUUAUAGAAAGUGAGGAAAUAAUAUGCAAACAACAUACAUUGAAAAUCCUACAAAUUAUUCAUAAUGUCAUGAUCAUAUCAAUGGAAUUUGUAUUACACAUUCUCCAGGUUUGCAAAGUUCAGGGGGAGUAAUUUCCCAAAUCUAUAACCUAUUAACAAUCCUAAGAUUGCAUAUAUUGUACUCUUUUUCCCUUCAUGAGUUUUUCCUAAUGGUUUCUCAUAAAGGUUUUUAACGAGACAAUAUAAACACAAGUGCCCGUAUAUGUCAUACACUUUCUCCUUAUAUUUUUCCCACUCGGUUUUAAAGGAGUUUUCAAUGGCAUAUCAUAUCGCACUCUUUUCCCUUAUGAGUUUUCUAUCAAAGUUUCUCAUAAUGGUUUUUAAUGAGGCAAUAUCUUCUCAAAGAUCAUAUGUCAUACUUUCUAUUUUCCUUAUCGAGGUUUUUAAAGAAAGUACUCAAGACAUAUUAAUUGUUCUCUAACUCACCAAUGAGUUUUCUCCUUCUUCAAAGGUUUUCUCAUACGAGUUAUCAAGAGAAAAUAAUCAUUAUAUGUUGUAUCAUUUUCUCCUUAUUUUUCCCACUGGGUUUAAAGGAGUUUUAACAACAUAUUAACUACUAUCAUCCUCAUAUUUUUUCCCACAGGGUUUUUGGAGGAGUCUUUCUCAAGAUGGAAUGAUGAACAUUCUCAAGGACGAAGCUAUUUCUAAAGAAGUCCUUAUCAAGAAGAUGGCUAUUUACAAGAUCAAGAAUUGAUUAGGGGGAGUGUUAGGAAUAAUUAAUAUCUAGUAAUUAUGUAAUUAAUCAAUGCUAUGUCGGUACCUUUUUGGCAACCACCCCUUUUGUAAACUGCCAUGUACUGGGUAUAAAUACCCCUAAUUUCCAUCAAUGAGAAGAUGAUCGUUCAUUCCAAUCGUUUGCUCCUCUCUCUCUUUCUUUUCCUCUUCACAGCUCAAUUGAUGAUCUUCCUGUACGUGGCCAAGGCCUACUAGACUUUACGCGGCGUUUGAGCUGACAUGGCUAAAACUUGAGGUCUCGCCGUGUUGGGCAAGUCUAUCUAUCUAGUAGCUGCUUCUGUUUAGGUCGGAAGUUUUUCCCGAGGAAAAAAAGAUGCCCACAAGGCUCUCCUACUACUAGCUUUCAGUUUACAGAACGCGCAAGAAAUAAUUAACUGUGGCAUGGCCAGAGCUAGCUGCCAGAAGAGCCUUGGCUUAGCUAGCUAGCCGUAUCAUCAUAUCACCUGCUUGGAUGUUGUCCCGAUCGAGCUGCUGCACUCCAAGCUAGGUUCAUUGGACUUCGUCUGUCUCUCGGUGAUCUGACUGCGCCCGCCGGUCGAUACGAGAAAUUAAGGCGCAGCUAGAGCUGUCGUAUACAUUGACUUAUCGUCCUUGAGUUGGCUAUAUCGUGCAACUUGUGAGCGCAGUGACAAUUAGCUAAGCACGUCAUGCAUCCGUUUCAUGGACUUAUCGUCCUUGAGUUGGCUAUACCAUGGGUGGCCAUGUAUAACUCUCCUCCUAGUCCCCCGGAUGGCUCACAUUGUCACCACGAUUCUUGUUAUCGCUCAUGGUUUAGCUUGUCGAACAACUCUCCACAGCUGGGAGUGCUACGGACUGAGAUUAUAAUAACUUUCUGGUACAUCGAAAAGAAUGUCUAGGGACUCGACAGUGGCGGAGCUAUGGCAGGGCCAAACAUGGCCAUGGCCCGCCCAGCUAAACAAGAGUUCAGUGUAGAGUGGAGCUAAUUUCGGGCAAAUUUUCAGGCGCAUAUCUUAAUCUAGCCCUUUUUGGCCCGCCCAGUGAUGUGUGUAGCUCUGUCACUGGUCUCGAUAGUUCAAGACUGAGAUUUGCUCCUCUAACGAUGAAGAGAUACUUCUCCGAGCCAUCUCGGUACUACGGUAUCCAUCAUCGACCAAACCAUAUGUCCGUGUUGAAGGACAUCCCCUGACCGGAGGGUCAAUUUUGCUUGGCUCCACAAGAUGACACAAACUUUUAAUGGAACUCUUGUAUGCCACAACUUAGUCCAUUGUUGAGCACCCCUUACAAUUGUGAACAAGCCAAUGCUCGACCUGCAUGCCACUAGUGAGCCCAAUACUAUUAUAUUGUUGCCGAGCCUACGCUAGCUAUGACUUGGAUGAACAAGCACCCCCUAUCACCCAUCAUGCAUGCCAACUAGAUAAUUUUGCUGAGAUGACAUGUCUAAUCAGAAUAAAUGAUGUAUUAUUAUUUGUUGUGGAAUGAUAAGAAAGUCCGGUCGUGGCCUAUACUAGCUAGACAUGCAUAUGCGUUGAGGUCUAUUGAAGCGUACGAACAUGGGUCACUGUUGCUUAUUGAUGUUCAUGUAUGUGGCCAUGGCCUAUACUAGACUUUCCGCGGCGUUUGAGCUACAUGCAUGGCUAAAACUUGAGGUCCCGUCGUGUUGGAUAUCUAGUACGUACCAGCUCCUGUUUAGACCAUGCUUACUAGGCUCCUAGUAGUAGCUAGCUUCUGUUUGCACAACGCAGGAAUUAAUUGUGGCAUGGCAUCUCCGGCUAGAGCUGCCAACAUUUUGUUCAGCCUCUGCUUAGCCGUCUCAUCGUACCACUUGCUAGAGACCCCGUCGUCGCGCUGCUAUGGAUGCUGUCCCGAUGGAGCUCGUAGGUUCAAUGUACCCCGUCCGUGUCUCGGUGAUCUGACUGCACGUCCGGUCCGGAGGAGAAAUUAAGGCGCAGCUAGCGCUGUCAUACAUGGACUUUAUCGUCCUUGUGUUGGCUAUAUGUGCAACUUGCAAGAGCAGUGACAAUUAGCCAACAAUAAUGCUGCACGCACGGACCUGUGACGGGCGUUUUACGAAUUGGUUAAUGCUAAUUGGCCUCCCCCCUGAUUUUCAGGGGAUGGGUCCCUGUCUCUCCCUAAUUCCAAUUAAAAAAUGCCACCUGUGCUGGUCCGUGAAGUACAUAAAAACUUCUCCGUGUGUGUAGCAUCUCUCAUUAGCCAAGCACGUCAUGCUCAUCCGUAGUAUAUAUAUAUAUAUAUAUAUAUAUAUAUAUAUAUAUAUAUAUAGAUAUUGUGACUCGUGCGGUUCGCUAUAGGAGUAUCGACCUUUCACGUGCGGGGGCCAAAAUUAGUGCAUAUGUAGUCGAGACAAGAGAACUUCGAUAUCGAAAAUGUAUGUGUACAGAAUACAAGUGGUGAGCCCUACAGAUUUUGCCCUGGCCUGGACGGUACCGGCGACCGACCGACCGACCGCAAGUCGACGAUAAGCACGGCCGCCGGAACGCGGUGCAGCCUUAGGCGCCAGCGCCAGCGCUGGCCGCCGCCCGCACAACCACGGGAUGCACUGUAGACGGUCGCUCUCCGGCGAGUGGUCGCACGGACUGCAUUCCGGCAGCCUUCGCGAACGCGACACCGACUUUUAUCUCGAUCUCUCCUUGUGGACACCGUGCAGUAACAGCUUUCUUUCAGCUGCCGGUAAUCCACACGGUAUCUUCUUCCUCUGAUUUGCUACGACGACGAGCAUGUGGAGUCAGGGAGAGGAGGAAGGGCGUGCACAUGCAGUUCCGUUGGGUUGGCUGAAAGCUAAUUUGAAGUCAAACCACAAACGGCGCCGACGACGUACACCAGAAGAAGGGAUUGUGUAUUCGGGCUGGCUUAGCUCCAUCGUUGACCACCCCACGCACCGGCCGUCUGCAUGCUGCUCGUGUGAAGUCAAAGUCGAAGCGCCCGUGCCGCCAUGAGCUGCAUGCACGCGCGCACCCAUGACCCGUGUGAUGGCUGCCACGAGCUACAGAUCUCACCUAAUUUACGUCGGCGUGUACCGUUGCGUGUUGUGCAAGUGUACAUACACACGUGGGAGUAGAUUUGAAACGUACUCCCUCCGUUCGGAAUUAUUGUCAUAGAUGGAUGUAUCUAGACAUUUUUAGUUCUAGAUAUAUUCAUUUCUGCGACAAGUAAUUCGGGACGGAGGGAGUAGGAGGUUGCAGGAGGAUGGCUUCCGCUGCCAAAAGAUGCCCGCCAAUUAGCACGAAUCUCACCGUCAACCACAAAUGAAGUAGCGCGAGAUGACUUAGCUCAGCGCAGUUUAUUUAGACCGAAAUAGCUGCAUUUCAGUCGACUGAAUUUUCGUAGUUCGGUUAGUCGAUUUUGAUCGAAGGAAGAAAUAGCCGGAGGGGAGGAAGAAGCUCGUUCGGCAGGCUACCCCGGUGUCUAUCUUAGGGUUCAGGGUGGGGCGGUGGUGGACGGCGGUGGUGGGGGCGAUGGUGCAGCGGUGGUGGGGGGAUUCACCGGAGAAAAAAGUCGGUGCGGCGGGGCCUAGAGGGAUGGCCGGGGCAGUGGGAGACAGGCGGUGGGGGGUGGUUCUGGGGAGGCCGGGGCGGCGAGAAGGCGCGGGAGCGCCGCCGGCCGCGGGCGACGGGGGCCAGCGGUCCGGCCGGUGGUCCGUGGCGGCUGCUGGGUAGAGAUUUGGGGGAGGAAGAAGAGAAAGAGGUGGAAGAUGAUGCUUGGACAUUGGAUCUUGAUCGGAUGGCUGGAAUGAAAUUGACUGACCACUUCAAAGUUUGAUCGGAAGCCACUCCCUAUUUAGACACAAGUUGGUCUCCAGCCAAGUAGCACUCAGCAUUAUGCAUCAACGUACGGCCACCUCCUCGGACGCUCGCGGCGCUUCAUCACCAUCGUCGGAGUCUGAGCUAUGCGUCUCGGCCAUUCUCUGCUCGAUCGUAGUCGUCGCCGCGGCCAUUCCCUUGCUUUUAGACCAAACUCCGGAUUCGAGUCCUUAUGUCGCGCAAAAUAUUAAGCGAAGAUUAGUUUGACAAAAGAUCAACUCCAACAUAUCCUGUUUUCGUAAAAAGCCUACACCUAUUCGGCGCCUUAAGAGCCGCUUAAAGGCAAUUUCCUAGCGGGUUGGCCCAUAUUCUUCCUGCUUUGAUAUUUUUUUUUACAUUUUCUACUGGGUUUUUCUCUGUUUCCUUUCUCCUUUUUUCCAUUUCUUUUUACUUUUUUGUAAAAUUCGAAUGUUUUUUCAAAUUUGAGAGCUUUUCUCAAAUAUGUGUACCUUUUCAAUUUCACAAAGUUUUUUUCCAAAUCUCAUGAUUCUUUUUUAAAUUAGUGAACUUUUUUCAGUUUUUGCUAACUUUCUAGUGAACUUUUUUCAAAUCCAUUGACUCUUUCACUAUUUUUCAAAAUUUUCCGUAAAAUUUUUGGUCAAAAUCUGUGAACUUUUUCAAAUCCGUGAUUUCUUUUAGAAAAAUGAUGAACAUUUUUCAAAUUCAUGAACUGUUUUUAAAAAUGUGCAAAAAUAUUGAUGAACACUCUCAAAACCGUAAAUUGUUUUUUCAAAUUUGUUAACUUUUUUCAAAAUUCAUGAACUUUAUUUUAUUUUGCAAAUUUUUCUCAAAUCCAUGAACUUUGUCCUUUUUUGUUAUUUUUAUUUUUUUCUUUUUCCAAAAGUCAAUUGUUGAUCGAUCAAAUGGCCAACCGUGACGAAGCGAACCAAGGCGCGUCCUAGGCGAGCGACCUCAUCACCAUGAUGUUGGGCCCGCCCAGAAAUGCGGCCGCGUGGGCGCUGGUUUCUCCAAGUCAGGGAGUACUUAUAUUAGAGGCGCCUUUUUCUCAAAAAAAAAAACUUAUAUUAGAGGCGCCUACUAGUUAGAAAAUGACAGGUUAAUUCCUGACUCCCAAGCUAUAGUGGGAUCAAAUUUGUCGAGGCUCGUGCUAUAAUUUAUGCCUGGGCAGCUUGUAUAAAAACUUGCAUAACUUUUGCUUCUGUAAUUAAUUUGGUUUAGGUGGGAAGUAGCAGCGGAAAAAUUGAUAUAGAUGAUGGUUCUGCCCACAAUUUUUGAGCUAGCAACCUCACUCGUACACUAGCACCAUUAGAGAAUCUACGGUCGGGCAUCCCAUACCGCCGUUCAACGCCCGAGUGGACGACUCGGCCAGUGACCGGUAAAAAAACCCGACCUAGACAGGCACCUCAAACGGGUCUGAAACGCCGGGCUGACCGGCACCCCUCAUAUCCAGCCCAAGUCUGAAGUGGACAUGAGGAAGCCCAGGCACGUUCGUCACGUCGGACUGACAAUAAGGUUCCCCAGAAAAACACUUCAAUUUCUGGCGGUCCAAAACUCAUCUCCACUAUCGAAUCAACGGCACCAUUCCGGCGCGACGCGUAGUUCCCUAACCCGGCUAUUUAAGCCGACCAUCGGCACCUAUGUCCGUCUAUAUUUCAUCCUUCCCGUCCGUCACCGCCGCCACUUUUCACUCGCGGUCCGCCACCAGCCAUGCCACCACUAGCACACAACGACAAAGGCAUACUGAACAAUGAACAAGCGAGUGGGUUGCGCAGCUGAGUGACAACGGGUCGAUCCGAUAGGAUGACGAGAAACCCCAAUCUCUACACGCAGGUGAGCAGGUGUCCGUGUCACUUUCUCCAAGCCGGGAUUAAACAUAUCAAUCCAUCACCGUCACGCGCCACUACUUCGCCGACGCACAGAUCCACCGGCGAAGCGUACGUUUCACUCCUCACCCAACGCUGCCGAAAUCGACCUUCCAAGAACAGCGUGCCCGGAUCACCGAUCGACCGCGAGCACUCCGUCGGCUGCGCCUGUUUGACGCGGCGAUGAGUUCGGAGGCGCACCAGCUGCGGCAGCCGCACGCGGUGCUGAUCCCGCAGCCGGCGCAGGGCCACGUCACGCCGAUGCUGCACCUCGCCAAGGCGCUGCACGCCCGGGGCUUCCGCAUCACCUUCGUCAACUCCGAGUACAACCGCCGCCGCCUGCUCCGGUCCCGCGGCCCCGGCUCGCUGGACGGCGCCGACGGCUUCCGCUUCGAGGCCGUCCCGGACGGCCUGCCGCCGUCCGACGACCACGGCGACGACGUCACGCAGGACAUCGCCGCGCUCUGCCUGUCAACCAUCAAGCACAGCGCCGCCCCGUUCAGGGAGCUGCUGGCCAGGCUUAACAACAGCACGCCGGUGAGCUGCGUCAUAGCCGACGGCGUCAUGAGCUUCGCGCAGAGGGUCGCCGAGGAGUUGGGCAUCCCGGCCUUGGUGUUCUGGACUACGAGCGCCUGCGGCUUCAUGGGUUACCUCCACUUCGCCGAGCUCAUUAGAAGAGGCUAUGUGCCACUCAAAGGUGUGUGCCGAGUACUAUAUGGCUAGUACAGAUUGACAGCUCAAUCUGACAGCAGAUGAUUCUUCUUGUUCUGUAAAUUUCGCAGAUGAGAGUGACCUGACUAAUGGGUACCUGGACACUCCAAUCGACUGGAUCCCCGGAAUGGAAGGCAUCCGUCUGAAAGACAUACCCAGCUUCAUCAGAACGACCGACCCGGACGACGUGAUGCUCAACUUCGACGGCGGCGAGGCGCAGAACGCGCGCGGCGCCCGCGGGCUCAUCCUCAACACGUACGACGCGCUGGAGCAGGACGUCGUCGACGCGCUCCGCCGCACGUUCCCGCGCCUGUACACCGUCGGCCCGCUGGCCAAAGCCGCCGCGGGAGGCGCCGAGACCGAGCUCGACGCGAUCGGCGGGAACCUCUGGAAGGAAGACACGAGCUGCCUCCGCUGGCUGGACGCCCAGCGGCAGCCCGGGUCGGUGGUGUACGUCAACUUCGGCAGCAUCACGGUGGUGACCGCGGCGCAGCUCGCGGAGUUCGCGUGGGGGCUGGCGAGCUGCGGCCGGCCGUUCCUGUGGGUCGUCCGGCCAGACCUCGUGGCCGGCGAGAAGGCCGUGCUUCCGGAGGGGUUCGUCCGGGAGACCAAGGACAGGGGAGUCCUGGCGAGCUGGUGCCCGCAGGAGCGCGUCCUCUCGCACCCGUCGGUGGGGCUGUUCCUGACGCACUGCGGGUGGAACUCGACGCUGGAGAGCGUGUGCGCCGGCGUGCCGAUGGUCUGCUGGCCCUUCUUCGCCGAGCAGCCAACCAACUGCCGGUACGCGUGCGCCAAGUGGGGCAUCGGGAUGGAGAUCGGUGGCGACGUGGCGAGGGAGGAGGUGGCGCGGCUGGUGCGCGAGGCCAUGGACGGCGAGAGGGGCAAGGCGAUGAGAGCGAGCGCGACGGCGUGGAAGGAAAGCGCCAGGGCAGCGACGGGGGCAGGUGGCUCGUCGAGCGAGAACAUGGAUCGGCUGGUCGAGUUCUUGCGUGCCGGGUGUGAUGGUGCUACCUGAAUGAGUUAUACGGGUGUGUUUGGUAGCAUGCAUGGACCUAGUCUAGUUGUUCUUCUCUGAUACAUGUUGAACGUAGACAUGCUCAGUUCAUGUAUACUAGAUCGUUAUCACGCCUUGGCGCGAGGGUGCCGGUCCAACCGACAUGACCAAGCGAUGGAAGAUCAAACCACAUGAUGCAUUAGCAAAAAGCAUGAGUAGGAACGCAUGAUGCACAACCGAUUUUCUGGUUCAAGGAAAAGAAUAAAUAUUUCAAAAGAGUAACAUAAUCAAGUUCAACAAAGUGAUGAGGUUAUAAAAACUAACCCGCCCCAAAAGUAAUGCAACAUCAAGUUCAGUGCAGUCAUGAGAAUACAAAAGCUAAUUAGCUGACAUUAAGUUCAGUAACACGAGCAGGAACAUAAGAGAGCAAAAGCCAACAGUGGCAAUGGAGGCGAUAAAACUACGAAGCCGUAGUUACACACACUAAUAGAUAGCUUGGUUCAACUUCCUCCAUGAGUGCCAUUCCAUAUGAAUCUGGUGUGAAUAGUUUGUAAGAUAGAUGACCACAUAGUGGUUUUGUAUAGAAAAUGCACUUGUGAUUUCCUUCUAAAGCAUAUAUGUACAGUGAGCGAUGGUUUCCCCUUCUAAUGUUGAAGGCGACGACCCAUAUCUGACUAUAUGUUCUUCUUUUAUUCCUGCCGCCUUGACAAAGUCUGACCAAUUGGUAUUGUGGCCCUCUUAACCGUAGGAAAAUGUUCCAGAGUAGGCGUAGGCCUGAAAAUGAGCGCACGGAAAAUAAUUAGUGUAUUUUUGGGUGACAUUGUUAAACAUGACUUCAUCUCUUAAUCAUGAAAUACAGAGAACUUUGUUGAUCCGGUUAUAAAAGACGAUUUAUCAAGAAGAGUAUGCCUAGCUUUCAAUUUGAGACCUCUUGAGCAAAUAUAUUAGCAGCAUUAGUAUGAGAAUUCUAUAUCUUAAGGAAUUUCAAUGAUGGUGAUGCCUACAACACAUGAACUAAAUUAUAUUGGUAGAAUAGGACCAGUGUAUUUUUGCUAAUAGUGAGACUUCUUUCUGUUAAAGGUGCUAAAUACCUGAUGUUAAUAAAUAACAGUCCUCGUACUCGAAAAGACUUCUAAUGUCUUCCAUUAAAAUUAUCACUAAGAAUGCUAGGUUGAGAUACAAAUUUUGAAGUACAAAAUAUAACAGAAAUACAAAACAUGAUAUGAACCAUUAAUUUCUGAUAUGCGAUGGAAAACACUAAUUUAGAAGAUAUGAGCUAAAAAACAUCCACUUCUUGUUGAUAUAAUAUGCUAAGACGUAACAUCUAAAACUAUUAUGAGAGCAAAAAUAUUUAGCGGCUCCGAAAAUGAAUAACAAAGAGGUUGAUGGUCAAUACCUUCUUGUUGGAAGAUUCACCUCUACUAUUGCCUUUUUUUAUGUUUUCUUCUUAUGGGGCAACAUGGCAUUAGCAAUUAGAACCCAACUAACAUCAAAACUGGGGCUAUACGGUACUUGUAGCUGGCCGCAAUCUAAAUGGUAUGCCAAUCAAGAGAACAUAUAAAUGAGGCAACGAAUACUGAAAGCAUAAAUGAAGAACACCAAAUGCACAAACCAUAUGACCUUCAGACCUUGUAAAAUCCAACAGCAAGGCAUUAGCAAUUAGAAACCAACUAAUACAAAGGUAAAUUGGGGCCAUGGUCUAUGUAGCUGGCCGGAAUCUAAAUGGCGUGCCAAUGAACAGAACAUAUAAAUGGGCAGUGAAUAUAGGAAGCAUAAAUGAAGAACACAGAGAAAAUCUCACUGUAUGUUCACUAAUUUAUGCUUCCUAUAUAACAAUUAUAUUUUGAACAUUGGUCCAUGCAACAUUAGUAGAGCAAAACAUAACCCUCCCUAGUCUGUCCAUACACUGACAAAAUCAUUCCAGUUUUUGCAGGUAACAUCCGCGAAGUAUCUAUAACCAAUCUCCGGAAAGUGAGGAAAAGAUUACAAAAUUUAAAUACAUAUUAACAUUAAGAACAAUCAAAAUUGACUUGUUGCCUCUUGUAGAUAAGAUUUCACAAUAAAUGAAUAAGAAAAUUGAUCUUGGUUGCGCGGACAAAAGCAUUAUGCAGAGAUUUAUAGCUUUGCGGUCAACAACACCCAUAGUCUGAUGCAGUUGAUCCACUGAAGAACAUACAGUAAAAGCUGAUAGAAACACACAGGUGUGGCUAAUCUAAUAUAAAAUCUAACAGGUUAACCAAGCUCGCUUCCAAUUGAUAGAAAAGUUACACAUUAUGCAUGUAUUUUUUUGAGCAAAAAAAUAACAUUUAUUGAACAGAGAACUUCGGGUCAAAAUUAAAUUUAGAUAUACCUCGAAGGAAAAAUGAAUUGGCAAAGGCGAUGGAUACUAUAAAGCAAACAAAGAAUCGUUUCGAAUCAGCAAAAUCAAUCAACAAAAGGCAGGAAUCAUGCGGUCUUCGAGAGCAGAGCAGCAUCCUUCUCUCUAUUAUCACACUUGAUUCUAUUUCCCACCUGAUAGAAAUAGACUACUUUCUGAGGCUUCAUAGAUGAAUUCUGAUAGAAAUAGAUAAAUUGAGAAUCACAUUUGUGCAAAAUUGAAAAUGACUACGAAAAGAAUACAUGAAUACUGUGAAUUAGGGUAUUGCUAAAGGAAGUUUUGUCAAAUAACUAAAAGGUCUAGGGGGGAAAACACAAUCAUGUUGCUUCUGUUUAUUGAUUCACAGUAUUGCUGCGUAAUUAGUUGCCACCAAGAAGAGGCUAAUUCAUACAGCCCCAACCAAACCAUGUUCCGGCCGCCAUCAGAUCAAGCAACCUCUAACAAAGAAUGUAAGCAAGCAACACCACAGCGGAAAUCAGUGUAAUCUCUCUAGGGGUGCUGUAGCUACUACUCUGCCUCUGUUUUCAGCAAAUGGAUUUUAGAUCUUUUCUGUCCAUGCCUAUAGAAUCACAGGUCUAUUUAUCUCUACUCUUUCACAAAAUUGGCAACUUUCAGCAUCAAGCAACUUCUUAUGUGAUUAGUGUUGGACAGAGAUUACACUACUUAGCAGGAGGUGAUGUAGAUACAUCUUAGCCUGCUAACACACAUGCUGGAUCAAUUUUUAGGUAUCGGCGUAGAUCAAAAACCAUGAAGUUUCUCCAAUAUGCAAGUACUUGGUUUGGCCUGGUACAGAUUGUGUCGUGCUCCUAGGAAAAUAAACGAUAAGAUUAUAAGUAUGAAGAAAGUAUUAUUUGUUCAUUGACUCGACAAAAAGGAUAAUGUACUUCUCGACGACUCUGUGUAAAAACAAAACCAACAACAUCCUCUUUUAUAAUCAUAGAAAGCCUAGUUGGACUACAAAUUUGAAUAGUAUUUUCAACAUGUUGCUGAACUAUUCCUUUUGGUAGGCACAUACUGAAGAAACAAGAACAUAAAUGCAUUAUUUAUUUUCUCCACCCACCAACCACCACUUUUGGUAUGUGUUAGAAAGAUAAGACAUAUAGAAAUUGGGGAUAUGUUAGGCCAAGUAAUUACCAGGUUCUUGCUGCAGACCCCGUCAAUACCCAUCAAACAUACUUGGGCUCAUGACAACGACGGUCGUGGAGGAGAGAAUGACGGCACAACGAAAGGGCAUGCUCCAACUUUAGAUCGCGGCUCCACCGUCAACCUAGAUGGGCAGCAUGACAGACUAUUAUGAACAUGAUGGUGAUACAGCUCCUUUUAAUCAUUUUAUCAAGAACCCUUUGAACAAGACCAUAGUCAUGGAGUAAAACUAUAUAUAGCUAUAUAAUACACAGAACAACAUAAACAUGCAACCAUCGUUUCUAGGAAAAAACACAUGGAUAUACAAAUGGAGAAGCUUACCACUUUGCCUUAUCUUGCAAGAAAUAGAAAUCUUAAAUGAAAAAAUGCACAUUGCCAAACUUUUACAGAGUAUACAGCGCACAAAAAUAAUCCACGCAUCAGCGACGAAUGGACAGAACUGGGAAAGAAACAGGACGUCAAUGCAUUGUUUAGAGCAAGUAGAAACUAAUAAUAAAGAAAAUAGUUCACGACUGAAAAUUUAGUUGUUUUGAUGACAUACACUAAAGAGCACAUCAUAUACAGUCACUUAGUAAUUAGUAGUUGCUAUUCUCCAGAAACUUUGGAAACAGUAAACAACUAAAAAUGUGAAAUGGAAAGUAUGAUAAGAAUACAGAGGCAAAAAGAUCGUGUUAAAUCAUCACAUAUAUAAAUAAACAGCAGGGUGACUAUAACAUAGACAUGUUAACUGGUAAGGACUCAUGAGAAUUAUCCGGUGGUGCUAAUUACGGUUCAAUAUACUACUCCUUCGGAACACCACGCAGAAAAAAUUAGUACAGACUAAACAGCAUCAAUGAGCACAUUGUUCUUCCAAAAGAAAAAUUGUUGCAAGCAAAUAACUAUGCAAUGGAUUGUUCUGCCCUAUCCCGACAUCAAACAGAAAUCUCAUCCUUCAUCUUGAACCUCUCCCUCUCACCUCAAAAUAGAAUUAUUAUUUUUGAUCCAUAAGAUGAAUAUGUUGAACCUUGGUAAAUAGCUAAAGUGAAUCUAAAUCAGGAACGGGUGCAGAUCUUGAUAUCAUGAAGAUUGAUAAUUGUACUCAUCUGAAGAACAUGGUACGAACAAAAUUGAGACAUAAAGCAACUAACAUUUAUUUCUAUUGCCUGACAUAUAGCCAGAUGUAAACUCAGAAUCAGAACAUAUAGAUUAGGGCUUAGGACAAGCACCACCUUCGUUGCUUCAUACUCAACUAUUCUCUGAAACAAAAGGUAUAAGUUUUCAGUGCUAAAUGAACACUUUCUAUAGCUUUGUAAUUGUCUAAAUUUAUCUGUUGCAAGAGGAGGGCAUGAAGCCAUCAGAUGACACUAAAAAGGAUCAGUCGUAAAAAAAUUGAUGAGAAAAUGUUCAAAUAUCACGUCUAUUGCAGGGCCAUGGCCUCAUGGGCAAGAUGGGGAGGGGGAGGGUGUUGGGGAACGUAGUAAUUUCAAAAAAAUUCCUACGCACACACAGGAUCAUGGUGAUGCAUAGCAACGAGAGGGGAGAGUGUUGUCCACGUACCCUCGUAGACCGAAAGCGGAAGCGUUAGCACAACGCGGUUGAUGUAGUCGUACGUCUUCAUGAUCCGACCGAUCAAGUACCGAACGCACGGCACCUCCGAGUUCAGCACACGUCAACUCGAUGACAUCCCUCGAACUCCGAUCCAGCCGAGCUUUGAGGGAGAGUUCCGUCAGCACGACGGCGUGGUGACAAUGAUGAUGUUCUACCGACGCAGGGCUUCGCCUAAGCACCGCUACGAUAUUAUCAAGGUGGAUUAUGGUGGAAGGGGGCACCACACACGGCUAAGAGAUCCAAGGGAUCAAUUGUUGUAUCUAUGGGGUGCCCCCUGGCCACGUAUAUAAAGGAGUGGAGGAGGGGGGAGAGGGCCGGCCCCUAUGGCGCACCCUGGAGGAGUCCUACUCCCACCGGGAGUAGGAUUCCCCCCCCCCCCUUCCAAGUAGUAGGAGUAGGAGUCAAGGCAAGGGAAGAGAGAAGAGAAGGAAGGAGGGGGCGCAGCCCCUACCCCUAGUCCAAUUCGGACUAGGCCUUGGGGGGGCGCGCAGCCUCUCCUCUCUCUUUCCCCUAAAGCCUAAUAAGGCCCAUAUACUCACCGGCGAAUUCCCGUAACUCUCUGGUACUCCAAAAAUACCCGAAUCACUCGGAACCUUUCCGAUGUCCGAAUAUAGUCGUCCAAUAUAUCGAUCUUUACGUCUCGACCAUUUCGAGACUCCUCGUCAUGUCCCCGAUCUCAUCCGGGACUGCGAACUACCUUCGGUACAUCAAUACACAUAAACUCAUAAUAUAACCGUCAUCGAACUUUAAGCGUGCGGACCCUACGGGUUCGAGAACUAUGUAGACAUGACCGAGACACAUCUCCAGUCAAUAACCAAUAGCGGAACCUGGAUGCUCAUAUUGGCUCCCACAUAUUCUACGAAGAUCUUUAUCGGUCAAACCGCAUAACAACAUACGUUGUUCCCUUUGUCAUCGGUAUGUUACUUGCCCGAGAUUCGAUCAUCGGUAUCUCAAUACCUAGUUCAAUCUCGUUACCGGCAAGUCUCUUUACUCGUUCCGUAAUACAUCAUCUAGAAACUAACUCAUUAGUCACAAUGCUUGCAAGGCUUAUAGUGAUGUGCAUUACCGAGAGGGCCCAGAGAUACCUCUCCGAUAAUCGGAAUGAAAAAUCCUAAUCUCGAAAUACGCCAACCCAACAAGUACCUUCGGAGACACCUGUAGAUCACCUUUAUAAUCACUCAGUUACGUUGUAACGUUUGGUAGCACACAAAGUGUUCCUCCGGUAAACGCGAGUUGCAUAAUCUCAUAGUCAUAGGAACAUGUAUAAGUCAUGAAGAAAGCAAUAGCAACAUACUAAACGAUCAAGUGCUAAGCUAACGGAAUGGGUCAAGUCAAUCACAUCAUUCUCCUAAUGAUGUGAUCCCGUUAAUCAAAUGACAACUCAUGUCUAUGGCUAGGAAACAUAACCAACUUUGAUUAAUGAGCUAGUAAAGUAGAGGCAUACUACUGACACUCUGUUUGUCUAUGUAUUCACACAUGUAUUAUGUUUCCGGUUAAUACAAUUCUAGCAUGAAUAAUAAACGUUUAUCAUGAAAUAAGGAAAUAAAUAAUAACUUUAUUAUUGCCUCUAGGACAUAUUUCCUUCAGUCUCCCACUUGCACUAGAGUCAAUAAUUUAGAUCACAUCGCCAUGUGAUUUAACAUCAAUAGUUCACAUCACCGUGUGAUUAACACCCAUAGUUCACAUCGUCAUGUGACCAAUACCCAAAGGGUUUACUAGAGUCAAUAAUCUAGUUCACAUCGUUAUGUGAUUAAUACCCAAAGAGUACUUAGGUGUGAUCAUGUUUUGCUUGUGAGAGAAGUUUAGUCAACGGGUCUGCCACAUUCAGAUCCGUAUGUAUUUUGCAAAAUUUCUAUGUCAACAAUGCUCUGCACGGAGCUACUCUAGCUAAUUACUCCCACUUUCAAUAUGCAUCCAGAUUGAGACUUAGAGUCAUCAGGAUCAGUGUCAAAAUUUGUAUCGACGUAACCCUUUACGACGAACCUUUUGUCACCUCCAUAAUCAAAAAAUUGAAGGAAAUAUGCCUAGAGGCAAUAAUAAAGUAUUAUAUAUUUCCUUAUAUCAUGAUAAAUGUUUAUUAUUCAUGCUAGAAUUGUAUUAACCGGAAACAUAAUACAUGUGUGAAUACAUAGACAAACAGAGUGUCACUAGUAUGCCUCUACUUGACUAGCUCGUUAAUCAAAGAUGGUUAUGUUUCCUAGCCAUAGACAUAAGUUGUCAUUUGAUUAACGAGAUCACCUCAUUAGGAGAAUGACGUGAUUGACUUGACCCAUUCCGUUAGCUUAGCACCCGAUCAUUUAGUAUGUUGCUAUUGCUUUCUUCAUGACUUGUACAUGUUCCUAUGACUAUGAGAUUAUGCAACUCCCGUUUACCGGAGGAACACUUUGUGUGCUACCAAACGUCACAACGUAAAUGGAUGAUUAUAAAGGUGCUCUACAGGUGUCUCCAAAGGUACUUGUUGGGUUGGCGUAUUUCGAGAUUAGGAUUUGUCACUCCAAUUGUCGGAGAGGUAUCUCUGGGCCCACUCGGUAAUGCACAUCACUAUAAGCCUUGCAAGCAUUGUGACUAAUGAGUUAGUUGUGGGAUGAUGUGUUACGGAACGAGUAAAUAGACCGGCCGGUAACGAGAUUGAACUAGGUAUCGAGAUACCGACGAUCAAAUCUCGGGCAAGUAACAUACCGGUGACAAAGGGAACAACGUAUGUUGUUAUGCGGUCUGACCGAUAAAGAUCUUCGUAGAAUAUGUGGGAGCCAAUAUGGGCAUCCAGGUCCCGCUAUUGGUUAUUGACCGGAGACGUGUCUCGGUCAUGUCUACAUAGUUCUCGAACCCAUAGGGUCCGCACGCUUAACGUUACGAUGACAGUUUUAUUGAGUUUUGAUGUACCGAAGGAUUUAGGAGUCCCGUAUGAGAUCGGGGAUAUGACGAGGAGUCUCGAAAUGGUCGAGACGUAAAAAUCGAUAUAUUGGACGACUAUAUUCGGACUUCGGAAAGGUUCCGAGUGAUUCGGGUAUUUUUGGAGUACCGGAGAGUUACGAGAAUUCGUAUUGGGCCUUAAUGGGCCAUACGGGAAAGGAGAGAAAGGCCUCAAAAGGUGGCCGCACCCCUCCCCAUGGUCUGGUCCGAAUUGGACUAGGGAAGGGGGGUGCACCCUUCCUUCUUUCUCCUUCCCCCUUCCCUUCUCCUACUCCCACAAGGAAAGGAGGAGUCCUACUCCCGGUGGGAGUAGGACUCCCCCCUAUGGCGCGCCUCUCCCCUUGGCCGGCUGCCUCCCCCUUGCUCCUUUAUAUACGGGGGCAGGGGGGCAUCCCAGACACACAACAAUUGAUCCUUGAGAUCUCUUAGCCGUGUGCGGUGCCCCCUCCACCAUAUUACACCUCGAUAAUACCGUUGCGGAGCUUAGGCGAAGCCCUGCGUCGGUGGAACAUCAUCAUCGUCACCACGCCGUCGUGCUGACGAAACUCUUCCUCAACACUCGGCUGGAUCGGAGUUCGAGGGACGUCAUCGAGCUGAACGUGUGUAGAACUCGGAGGUGCCGUGCGUUCGGUACUUGAUCGGUCGGAUCGUGAAGACGUACGACUACAUCAACCGCGUUGUGUUAACGCUUCCGCUGUCGGUCUACGAGGGUACGUGGACAACACUCUCCCCUCUCGUUGCUAUGCAUCACCAUGAUCUUGCGUGUGCGUAGGAAUUUUUUUGAAAUUACUACGUUCCCCAACAGUGGCAUCCGAGCCUGGUUUUAUGCGUUGAUGCUAUGCACGAGUAGAACACAAGUGAGUUGUGGGCGAUAUAAGUCAUACUGCUUACCAGCAUGUCAUACUUUGGUUCAGCGGUAUGGUGAGAUGAAGCGGCCCGGACCGACAUUACGCGUACGCUUACGCGAGACUGGUUUCACCGUUGCGAGCACUCGUUGCUUAAAGGUGACCGGCGGGUGUCUGUCUCUCUCACUUUAGUUGAACCGAGUGUGGCUACGCCCUGUCCUUGCGAAGGUUAAAACAGCACCAACUUGACAAACUAUCGUUGUGGUUUUGAUGCGUAGGUAAGAACGGUUCUUGCUAAGCCCGUAGCAGCCACGUAAAAUAUGCAACAACAAAGUAGAGGACGUCUAACUUGUUUUUGCAGGGCAUGUUGUGAUGUGAUAUGGUCAAGACAUGAUGUGAUAUAAUGUGUUGUAUGAGAUGAUCAUGUUUUGUAACCGAGUUAUCGGCAACUGGCAGGAGCCAUAUGGUUGUCGCUUUAUUGUAUGAGAUGCAAUCGCCAUGUAAUAGUUUUACUUUAUCACUAAGCGGUAGCGAUAGUCGUAAAAGCAAUAAGUUGGCGAGACGACAACGAUGCUACGAUGGAGAUCAAGGUGUCGCGCCGGUGACGAUGGUGAUCAUGACGGUGCUUCGGAGAUGGAGAUCACAAGCACGGUGCUUCGGAGAUGGAGAUCACAAGCACAAGAUGAUGAUGGCCAUAUCAUAUCACUUAUAUUGAUUGCAUGUGAUGUUAAUCCUUUAUGUAUCUUAUCUUGCUUUGUUUGACGGUAGCAUUAUAAGAUGAUCCUUCACUAAAUUAUCAAAGUAUAAGUGUUCUCCCUGAGUAUGCACCGUUGCGAAAGUUCUUCGUGCUGAGACACCACGUGAUGAUCGGGUGUGAUAGGCUCUACGUUCAAAUACAACGGGUGCAAAACAGUUGCACACGCGGAAUACUCAGGUUAAACUUGACGAGCCUAGCAUAUAACAGAUAUGGCCUCGGAACACGGAGACCGAAAGGUCGAGCGUGAAUCAUAUAGUAGAUAUGAUCAACAUAGUGAUGUUCACCAUUGAAACUACUCCAUCUCACGUGAUGAUCGGACAUGGUUUAGUUGAUAUGGAUCACGUGAUCACUUAGAGGAUUAGAGGGAUGUCUAUCUAAGUGGGAGUUCUUAAGUAAUAUGAUUAAUUGAACUUAAAUUUAUCAUGAACUUAGUCCUGAUAGUAUUUUGCAAAUUAUGUUGUGGAUCAACAGCUCGCGUUGUUGCUUCCCUAUAUUUAUUUUGAUAUGUUCCUAGAGAAAAUUAUGUUGAAAGAUGUUAGUAGCAAAGAUGCGGAUUGGAUCCGUGAUCUGAGGAUUAUCCUCAUUGCUGCACAGAAGAAUUAUGUCCUUAAUGCACCGCUAGGUGACAGACCUAUUGCAGGAGCAGAUGCAGACGUUAUGAACGUUUGGCUAGCUCAAUAUGAUGACUACUUGAUAGUUUAGUGCACCAUGCUUAACGGCUUAGAAUCGGGACUUCAAAGACGUUUUGAACGUCAUGGACCAUAUGAGAUGUUCCAGGAGUUGAAGUUAAUAUUUCAAGCAAAUACCCGAGUUGAGAGAUAUGAAGUCUCCAACAAGUUCUAUAGCUAAAAGAUGGAGGAGAAUCGCUCAACUAGUGAGCAUGUGCUCAGAUUGUCUGGGUACUACAAUCGCUUGAAUCAAGUGGGAGUUUAUCUUCCAGAUAAAAUAGUGAUUGACAGAAUUCUCUAGUCACCAUCACCAAGUUAGUAGAACUUCGUGAUGAACUAUAGUAUGCAAGGGAUGACGAAAGUAAUUCCCGAGCUCUUCGUGAUGCUGAAAUCGACGAAGGUAGAAAUCAAGAAAAACAUCAAGUGUUGAUGGUUGACGAGACCACUUCAAGUGUUGAUGGUUGACGAGACCACUAGUUUCAAGAAAAGGGCAAAGGGAAGAAGGGGAACUUCAAAAAUAACAGCAAGCAAGUUGCUACUCAAGUGAAGAAGCCCAAGUCUGUACCUAAGCCUGAGACUAAGUGCUUCUACUGCAAAGGGACUGGUCACUGGAGGCGGAACUGCCCCAACUAUUUGGUGGAUAAGAAGGAUGGCAAAGUGAACAAAAGGUAUAUUGGAUAUACAUGUUAUUGAUGUGUACUUUACUAGUGUUUAUAGCAACCCCUCGGUAUUUGAUACUGGUUCAGUUGCUGAGAGUAGUAACUCGAAACGAGAGUUGCAGAAUAAACAGAGACUAGUAAAAGGCGAGGUGACGAUGUGUGUUGGAAGUAGUUCCAAGAUUGAUAUGAUCAUCAUCGCACACUCCCUAUACUUUCGGGAUUAGUGUUGAAACUAAAUAAGUGUUAUUUGGUGUUUGCGUUGAGCAUGAAUAUGAUUUGAUCAUGUUUAUUGCAAUACGGUUAUUCAUUUAAGUUAGAGAACAAUUGUUGUUCUGUUUACAUGAAUAAGAACCUUCUAUGGUCAUACACACCAACGAAAAUGGUUUGUUGGAUCUCGAUCGUAGUGAUACACAUAAUCAUAAUAAUGAAGCCAAAAGAUGCAAAGUUAAUAAUGAUAGUGCAACUUAUUUUUGGCACUGCCGUUUGGGUCAUAUCGGUGUAAAGCGCAUGAAGAAACUCCAUACUGAUGGGAUUUUGGAAUCACUUGAUUAUGAAUCACUUGAUACUUGCGAACCAUGCCUCAUGGGCAAGAUGACUAAAACGCUGUUCUCCGGAACUAUGGAGAGAGCAACAGAUUUGUUGGAAAUCAUACAUACAAAUGUAUGUGGUCCGAUGAAUAUUGAGGCUCGUAGCAGGUAUCAUUAUUUUCUGACCUUCACAGAUGAUUUGAGCAGAUAUGGGUAUAUCUACUUAAUGAAACAGAAGUCUGAAACAUUUGAAAAGUUCAUAUAAUUUCAGAGUGAAGCGGAAAAUCAUCGUAACAAGAAAAUAAAGUUUCUACGAUCUGAUCAUGGAGAAGAGUAUUUGAGUUACGAGUUUGGCCUUCAGUUAAAACAAUGUGAAAUUGUUUCACUACUCACGCCACCUGGAACACCACAGUGUAAUGGUGUGUCCGAACAUCGUAACCGUACUUUAUUAGAUAUGGUGCAAUAUAUGAUGUCUCUUACCGAUCUACCACUAUCGUUUUGGGGUUAUGCAUUAGAGACAGCUACAUUCACGUUAAAUAGGGCACCAUCAAAAUCCGUUGAGACGACGCCUUAUGAACUGUGGUUUGGCAAGAAACCAAAGUUGUCGUUUCUUAAAGUUUGGGGUUGCGAUGCUUAUGUGAAAAAGUUUCAUCCUGAUAAGCUCAAACCCAAAUCGGAGAAAUGUGUCUUCAUAGGAUACCCAAAGGAGACAGUUGGGUACACCUUCUAUCACAGAUCCAAAGGCAAGACAUUCGUUGCUUAGUAUGGAUCCUUUCUAGAGAAGGAGUUUCUCUCGAAAGAAGUGAGUGGGAGGAAAGUAGAACUUGAUGAGGUAACUGUACCUGCUCCCUUAUUGGAAAGUAGUUCAUCACAGAAAUCUGUUCCUGAACUUCUACACCAAUUAGUGAGGAAGUUAAUGAUGAUGAUCAUGUAACUUCAGAUCAAGUUACUACCAAACCUCGUAGGUAAACCAGAGUAAGAUCCGCACCAGAGUGGUACGGUAAUCCUGUUCUGGAGGUUCUGUUACUAGACCAUGAUGAACCUACGAACUAUGAAGAAGCGAUGGUAAGCCCAGAUUCCGCAAAAUGGCUUGAGACCAUGAAAUCUGAGAUGAGAUCCAUGUAUAAGAACAAAGUAUGGACUUUGGUUGACUUGCCCGAUGAUCGGCAAGCAAUUGAGAAUAAAUGGAUCGUCAAGAGGAAGACGGACGCUGAUAGUAGUAUCACUAUCUACAAAGCUAGAAUUGUCGCAAAAAGGUUUUCGACAAGUUCAAGAUGUUGACUACGAUGCGAGUUUCUCACUCGUAUCUAUGCUUAAGUCUGUCUGAAUCAUGUUAGCAAUUGCCGCAUUUUAUGAAAUAUGGCAAAUGGAUAAACAAAACUGCAUUCCUUAAUAGAUUUAUUAAAGAAGAGUUGUAUAUGAUGCAACCAGGAGGUUUUGUCAAUCCUAAAGGUGCUAACAAAAUAUGCAAGCUCCAGCGAUCCAUCUAUGGACUGGUGCAAGCAUCUCGGAGUUGGAAUAUACGCUUUGAUAAGUUGAUCAAAGCAUAUAGUUGUAUACAGACUUGCGGUGAAGCCUGUAUUUACAAGAAAGUGAGUGGGAGCACUACAGCAUUUCUGAUAAGUAUAUGUGAAUGACAUAUUGUUGAUCGGAAAUAAUGUAGAAUUAUUCUGCAAAGCAUUAAAGGAGUGUUUGAAAGGAGUUUUUCAAAAGAAAGACCUCGGUGAAGCUGCUUACAUAUUGAGCAUCAAGAUCUAUAGAGAUAGAUCAAGACGCUUGAUAAGUUUUUUCAAUGAGUACAUACCUUAACAAGAUUUUGAAGUAGUUCAAAAUAGAACAGUCAAAGAAAGAGUUCUUGCCUGUGUUACAAGGUGUGAAAUUGAGUAAGACUCAAAGCCCGACCACGGCAGAAGAUAGAAAGAGAAUGAAAGUCAUUCCCUAUGCCUUGGCCAUAGGUUCUAUAAAGUAUGCCAUGCUGUGUACCAGAUCUAUUGUAUACCCUACACUGAUUUUGGCAAGGGAGUACAAUAGUGAUCUAGGAGUAGAUCACUGGACAGCGGUCAAAGUUAUCCUUAGUGGAAUAAGAAUAUGUUUCUCGAGUAUGGAAGUGACAAAAGGUUCGUCGUAAAGGGUUACGUCGAUGCAAGUUUUGACACUAAAUCUAGAUGACUCUAAGUCUCGGUCUAGAUACAUAUUGAAAGUGGGAGCAAUUAGCUAAGAGUAGCUCCGUGCAGAGCAUUGUAAACAUAGAAAUUUGCAAAAUACUUACGGAUCUGAAUGUGACAGACCCGUUGACUAAUAUCAUCUCACAAUCAAAACAUGAUCACACCUUAGUACUCUUUGGGUGUUAAUCACAUAGCGAUGUGAACUAGAUUAUUGACUCUAGUAAACCCUUUGAGUGUUGGUCACAUAGAGAUGUGAACUAUGGGUGUUAAUCACAUGGUGAUGUGAAUUAUUGAUGUUAAAUCACAUGGCGAUGUGAACUAGAUUAUUGACUCUAGUGCAAGUGGGAGACUGAAGGAAAUAUGCCCUAGAGGCAAUAAUAAAGUAUUAUAUAUUUCCUUAUAUCAUGAUAAAUGUUUAUUAUUCAUGCUAGAAUUGUAUUAACCGGAAACAUAAUACAUGUGUGAAUACAUAGACAAACAGAGUGUCACUAGUAUGCCUCUACUUGACUAGCUCGUUAAUCAAAGAUGAUUAUGUUUCCUAGCCAUAGACAUAAGUUCUCAUUUGAUUAACGAGAUCACCUCAUUAGGAGAAUGACGUGAUUGACUUGACCCACUCCGUUAGCUUAGCACCCGAUCGUUUAGUAUGUUGCUAUUGCUUUCUUCAUGACUUAUACAUGUUCCUAUGACUAUGAGAUUAUGCAACUCCCGUUUACCGGAGGAACACUUUGUGUGCUACCAAACGUCACAACGUAAAUGGAUGAUUAUAAAGGUGCUCUACAGGUGUCUCCAAAGGUACUUGUUGGGUUGGCGUAUUUCAAGAUUAGGAUUUGUCACUCCAAUUGUCGGAGAGGUAUCUCUGGGCCCACUCGGUAAUGCACAUCACUAUAAGCCUUGCAAGCAUUGUGACUAAUGAGUUAGUUGCGGGAUGAUGUGUUACGGAACGAGUAAAGAGACUUGCCGGUAACGAGAUUGAACUAGGUAUCGAGAUACCGACGAUCAAAUCUCGGGCAAGUAACAUACCGGUGACAAAGGGAACAACGUAUGUUGUUAUGCGGUCUGACCGAUAAAGAUCUUCGUAGAAUAUGUGGGAGCCAAUAUGGGCAUCCAGGUCCCGCUAUUGGUUAUUGACCGAAGACGUGUCUCGGUCAUGUCUACAUAGUUCUCGAACCCGUAGGGUCCGCACGCUUAACAUUACGAUGACAGUUUUAUUGAGUUUUGAUGUACCGAAGGAGUUCGGAGUCCCGGAUGAGAUGGGGAUAUGACGAGGAGUCUCGAAAUGGUCGAGACGUAAAAAUCGAUAUAUUGGACGACUAUAUUCGGACUUCGGAAAGGUUCCGAGUGAUUCGGGUAUUUUUCGGAGUACCGGAGAGUUACGAGAAUUCGUAUUGGGCCUUAAUGGGCCAUACGGGAAAGGAGAGAAAGGCCUCAAAAGGUGGCCGCACCCCUCCCCAUGGUCUGGUCCGAAUUGGACUAGGGAAGGGGGGCGCACCCUUCCUUCUUUCUCCUUCCCCCUUCCCUUCUCCUACUCCCACAAGGAAAGGAGGAGUCCUACUCCCCCCUAUGGCGCGCCUCUCCCCUUGGCCGGCUGCCUCCCCCUUGCUCCUUUAUAUACGGGGGCAGGGGGGCACCCCAGACACACAACAAUUGAUCCUUGAGAUCUCUUAGCCGUGUGCGGUGCCCCCCUCCACCAUAUUACACCUCGAUAAUACCGUUGCGGAGUUUAGGCGAAGCCCUGCGUCGGUGGAACAUCAUCAUCGUCACCACGCCGUCGUGCUGACGAAACUCUCCCUCAACACUCGGCUGGAUCGGAGUUCGAGGGACGUCAUCGAGCUGAACGUGUGUAGAACUCGGAGGUGCCGUGCGUUCGGUACUUGAUCGGUCGGAUCGUGAAGACGUACGACUACAUCAACCGCGUUGUGUUAACGCUUCCGCUGUCGGUCUACGAGGGUACGUGGACAACACUCUCCCCUCUCGUUGCUAUGCAUCACCAUGAUCUUGCGUGUGCGUAGGAAUUUUUUUGAAAUUACUACGUUCCCCAACAGAAAUAUAUCCUUAUUCCACUAAGGAUAAUUUUGACCGCUGUCCAGUGAUCUACUCCUAGAUCACUAUUGUACUCCCUUGCUAAACACAGUGUAGGGUAUACAAUAGAUCUGGUACACAGCAUGGCAUACUUUAUAGAACCUCUGGCUGAGGCAUAGGGAAUAACUUUCAUUCUCUUUCUAUCUUCUGCCGUGGUCGGGCUUUGAGUCUUACUCAAUUUCAAACCUUGUAACACAGGCAAGAACUCUUUCUUUGACUGUUCCAUUUUGAACUACUUCAAAAUCUUGUUAAGGUAUGUACUCAUUGAAAAAACUUAUCAAGCGUCUUGAUCUAUCUCUAUAGAUCUUGAUGCUCAAUAUGUAAGCAGCUUCACCGAGGUCUUUCUUUGAAAAACUCCUUUCAAACACUCCUUUAAUGCUUUGCAGAAUAAUUCUACAUUAUUUCCGAUCAACAAUAUGUCAUUCACUUAUUUCGAGAGAAACUCAUUCUCUAGAAAGGAUCCAUUCUUAGCAAUAAAUGUCUUGCCUUCAGAUCUGUGAUAGAAGGUGUACCCAACAGUUUCUUUUGGGUAUCCUAUGAAGAUUUACUUCUCCGAUUUGAGUUCGAGCUUAUCAACCACAGUUCAUACGGUGUCAUCUCCACGGAUUUAGGUGGUGCCCUAUUUAACGUGAAUGUAGCUGUCUCUAAUGCAUAACCUCAAAACGAUAGUGGUAGAUCGGUAAGAGACAUCAUAGAUCACACCAUAUCUAAUAAAGUACGGUUAUGACGUUCGGACACACCAUUACACUGUGGUGUUCCAGGUGGCGUGAGUAGUGAAACUAUUUCACAUUAUUUUAACUGAAGGCCAAACUCGUUAACUCAAAUAUUUUACUUCUGCAAUCAUAUCGUAGAAACUUUUUUUCUUGUUACGAUGAUUCUCCACUUUACUCUGAAAUACUUUGAACUUUUCAAAUGUUUCAGACUUGUGAUUCAUUAACUAGAUAUACCCAUGUCUGCUCAAAUCAUCUGUGAAGGUCAGAAAAUAACGAUACCCGCCGUGAGCCUCAACACUUAUUGGACUGCAUACAUCGGUAUGUAUUAUUUUCAACAAGUCUGUUGCUCGCUCCAUUGUUCCGAACAACGGAGUCUUAGUCAUCUUACCCCUGAGGCAUGGUUCGCAAGCAUCAAGUGAUUCAUAAUCACGUGAUUCCAAAAGCCCAUCAGCAUGGAGUUUCUUCAUGCGCUUUACACCAAUAUGACCUAAACGACAGUGCCACAAAUAAGUUGCAUUAUCAUUAUUAACUUUGCAUCUUUUGGCUUCAAUAUUAUGAAUAUGUGUAUCACUACGAUCGAGAUCCAACAAACCAUUUUCAUUGGGUGUAUGACCAUAGAAGGUUUUAUUCAUGUAAACAGAAUAACAAUUAUUCUCUAAUUUAAAUGAAUAACCGUAUUGCAAUAAACAUGAUCAAAUCUUAUUCAUGCUCAACGUAAACACCAAAUAACAUUUAUUUAGGUUCAACACUAAUCCCGAAAGUAUAGGGAGUGUGCGAUGAUGAUCAUAUAAAUCUUGAAACUACUUCCAACACACAUCGUCACUUCACCCUUAACUAGUUUCUGUUCAUUCUGCAACUCCCGUUUCGAGUUACUACUCUUAGCAACUAAACCAGUAUCAAAUACCGAGGGGUUGCUAUAAACACUAGUAAAGUACACAUCAAUAACAUGUAUAUCAAAUAUACCUUUGUUCACUUUGCCAUCCUUCUUAUCCGCCAAAUACUUGGGGUAGUUCCGCUUCCAGUGACCAGUCCCUUUGAAGUAGAAGCACUUAGUCUCAAGCUUAGGUCUAGACUUGGGCUUCUUCACUUAAGCAGCAACUUGCUUGGCGUUCUUCUUGAAGUACCCCUUCUUCCCUUUGCCCCUUUUCUUGAAACUAGUGGUCUUGUUAACCAUCAACACUUGAUGUUUUUCUUGAUUUCUACCUUCGUCGAUUUUAGCAUCGCGAAGAGCUUGGGAAUUGUUUUCAUCAUCCCUUGCAUAUUAUAGUUCAUCACAAAGUUCUUAGUAACUUGGUGAUAGUGACUAGAGAACUUUGUCAAUUACUAUCUUAUCUAGAAGAUUAACUCCCACUUGAUUUAAGCAAUUGUAGUACUCAGACAAUCUGAGCACAUGCUCACUGGUUGAGCUAUUCUCCUCCGUCUUGUAGGCAAAGUACUGUCAGAGGUCUCAUACCUCUCGACACGGGCAUGAGUAUGAAAUACCAAUUUCAACUCUUGGAACAUCUUAUAUGCUCCGUGGCAUUCAAAACAUUUUUGAAGUCCCGGUUCUAAGCCGUAAAGCAUGGUGCACUAAACUGUCAAGUAGUCAUCAUACCGAGCUUUGUCAAAACGUUCAUAAUGUCUGCAUCUGCUCCUGCAAUAGGUCUGUCACCUAGCGGUGCAUCAAGGACAUAAUUCUUCUGUGCAGCAAUGAGGAUAAUCCUCAGAUCACGGACCAAGUCCACAUCAUUGCUACUAACAUCUUUCAACAUAGUUUACUCUAGGAACAUAUAAAAAUAAAACAGGGGAGCUAAAUGUGAGCUAUUGAUCUACAACAUAGAUAUGCAAAUACUAUCAGGACUAAGUUCAUGAUAAAUUUAAGUUCAAUUAAUCAUAUUACUUAAGAACUCCCACUUAGAUAGACAUCCCUCUAAUCAUCUAAGUGAUCACGUGAUCCAAAUCAACUAAACCAUGUCCGAUCAUCACGUGAGAUGGAGUAGUUUCAAUGGUGAACAUCACUUAUGUUGAUCAUAUCUACUAUAUGAUUCACGCUCGACCUUUCGGUCUCAGUGUUCCGAGGCCAUAUCUGUUAUAUGCUAGGCUCGUCAAGUUUAACCUGAGUAUUCCGUGUGUGCAACUGUUUUGCACCCGUUGUAUUUGAACGUAGAGCCUAUCACACCCGAUCAUCACGUGGUGUCUCAGCACGAAGAACUUUCGCAACGGUGCAUACUCAGGGAGAACACUUAUACCUUGAUAAUUUAGUGAGAGAUCAUCUUAUAAUGAUACCAUCAAUCAAAGCAAGAUAAGACGCAUAAAAGAUAAACAUCACAUGCAAUCAAUAUAAGUGAUAUGAUAUGGCCAUCAUCAUCUUGUGCUUGUGAUCUCCAUCUCUGAAGCACCGCCAAGAUCACCAUCGUCACCGGCGCGACACCUUGAUCUCCAUCGUAGCAUCGUUGUCAUCUCGCCAAUCUUAUGCUUCUAUGACUAUCGCUACCGCUUAGUGAUAAAGUAAAGCAUUACAGGGCGAUUGCAUUGCAUACAAUAAAGCGACAACCAUAUGGCUCCUGCCAGUUGCCGAUAACUCGGUUACAAAACAUGAUCAUCUCACACAAUAAAAUUUAGCAUCAUGCCUUGACCAUAUCACAUCACAACAUGCCCUGCAAAAACAAGUUAGACGUCCUCUACUUUGUUGUUGCAAGUUUUACGUGGCUGCUACGGGCUGAGCAAGUACCGUUCUUACCUACGCAUCAAAACCACAACGAUAGUUCGUCAAGUUAGUGUUGUUUUAACCUUCUCAAGGACCGGGCGUAGCCACACUCGGUUCAACUAAAGUUGGAGAAACUGACACCCGCCAGCCACCUGUGUGCAAAGCACGUCGGUAGAACCAGUCUCGCGUAAGCGUACGCGUAAUGUCGGUCCGGGCCGCUUCAUCCAACAAUACUGCCGAACCAAAAUGUGACAUGCUGGUAAGCAGUAUGACUUGUAUCGCCCACAACUCGCUUGUGUUCUACUCGUGCACAUAACAUCAACGCAUAAAAACAGGCUCGGAUGCCACUGUUGGGGAACGUAGUAAUUUCGAAAAAUUUCCUACGCACACACAGGAUCAUGGUGAUGCAUAGCAACGAGAGGGGAGAGUGUUGUCCACGUACCCUCAUAGACCGAAAGCACAAGCGUUAGCACAACGCGGUUGAUGUAGUCGUACGUCUUCACGAUCCGACCGAUCCAGUACCGAACGCAUGGCACCUCCGAGUUCAGCACACGUUCAACUCGAUGACGUCCCUCGAACUCCGAUCCAGCCGAGCUUUGAGGGAGAGUUCCGUCAGCACGACGGCGUGGUGACGAUGAUGAUGUUCUACUAACGCAGGGCUUCGCCUAAGCACCGCUACGAUAUUAUCGAGGUGGAUUAUGGUGGAAGGGGGCACCGCACACGGCUAAGAGAUCCAAGGGAUCAAUUGUUGUAUCUAUGGGGUGCCCCCUGGCCACGUAUAUAAAGGAGUGGAGGAGGGGGGAGAGGGCCGGCCCCUAUGGCACGCCCUGGAGGAGUCCUACUCCCACCGGGAGUAGGAUUCCCCCCCCCCCUUCCAAGUAGUAGGAGUAGGAGUCAAGGCAAGGGAAGAGAGAAGAGAAGGAAGGAGGGGGCGCAGCCCCUCCCCCUAGUCCAAUUCAGACUAGGCCUUGGGGGGGUGCGCAGCCUCUCCUCUCUCUUUCCCCUAAAGCCCAAUAAGGCCCAUAUACUCCCCGGCGAAUUCCCGUAACUCUCCGGUACUCCAAAAAAUACCCGAAUCACUCGGAACCUUUCCGAUGUCCGAAUAUAGUCGUCCAAUAUAUCGAUCUUUAUGUCUCGACCAUUUCGAGACUCCUCGUCAUGUCCCCGAUCUCAUCCGGGACUCCGAACUACCUUCGGUACAUCAAUACACAUAAACUCAUAAUAUAACCGUCAUCGAACUUUAAGCGUGCGGACCCUACGGGUUCGAGAACUAUGUAGACAUGACCGAGACACGUCUCCGGUCAAUAACCAAUAGCGGAACCUGGAUGCUCAUAUUGGCUCCCACAUAUUCUACGAAGAUCUUUAUCGGUCAAACCGCAUAACAACAUACGUUGUUCCCUUUGUCAUCGGUAUGUUACUUGCCCGAGAUUAGAUCGUCGGUAUCUCAAUAUCUAGUUCAAUCUCGUUACCGGCAAGUCUCUUUACUCGUUCCGUAAUACAUCAUCUCGAAACUAACUCAUUAGUCACAAUGCUUGCAAGGCUUAUAGUGAUGUGCAUUACCGAGAGGACCCAGAGAUACCUCUCCGAUAUUCGGAGUGACAAAUCGUAAUCUCGAAAUACGCCAACCCAACAAGUACCUUUGGAGACACCUGUAGAUCACCUUUAUAAUCACCCAGUUACGUUGUGACGUUUGGUAGCACACAAAGUGUUCCUCCGGUAAACGGGAGUUGCAUAAUCUCAUAGUCAUAGGAAUAUGUAUAAGUCAUGAAGAAAGCAAUAACAACAUACUAAACGAUCAAGUGCUAAGCUAACGGAAUGGGUCAAGUCAAUCACAUCAUUCUCCUAAUGAUGUGAUCCCGUUAAUCAAAUGACAACUCAUGUCUAUGGCUAGGAAACAUAACCAUCUUUAAUUAACGAGCUAGUCAAGUAGAGGCAUACUAGUGACACUCUGUUUGUCUAUGUAUUCACACAUGUAUUAUGUUUCCGGUUAAUACAAUUCUAGCAUGAAUAAUAAACAUUUAUCAUGAAAUAAGGAAAUAAAUAAUAACUUUAUUAUUGCCUCUAGGGCAUAUUUCCUUCAGAGGGGGAGGCUCAUCUUGAUUCAAUGCCCUUCACAUCCCUGCUGCUGCGACCUCUAGCAAUGAUGGAGGAGUGAGCCUUGCAUCCAGCGCCUGCGGCAGGCACUCCUCACACAGAUGAUGCUGCCAUCGCCACUCCCGAGUCAUAACUAAGCACAUAAAAUGAUAUAUAUGCAGGAAAUCAGUGAGCAAAUAUAUUUGGAGCCAGACAAGUUAACUAUAAAUGUUGAGUCGGUGACCUGGAACUCGAAUAUGUCAAACACAAUGUCCUUUUUAUCCACCUUAGUCUUUAGAUCCUUUAUAUUUCGAUUCUUCACACUGACACUGCUCGAAAGGUACUUCAUCUCGGUCUUAAUCUUCUGCAUUUUAGGGCAAUCAAAUUCAAUAUUCAUGGUGUCUUGAAGUUGCUGCAAGCACCGAGCAGCAGCAUUCUGCAUGGGCAUCAGCAACAUCCACAGCUAGUUCACCAUGGAUGGCCAUAUGCACUGAUGCCGUAGACAAGCGCAACUGUGAUGGCCAUAAGUAAAUAGUAGCCCCGACACGGACACGGUAAGAUGCGUAGGUCUUGUACUUCACUUUGGGUAAACCAGCUUCAGCAAGAACAUCGUUAAGCACAGCCUUUGGCCUAACCAUAACAGAACGCUUCAUCUGUCAAAACAUGCAAAGGGGAAAAUGACUCACAUGAGAAAAACAACAAAAAAGGAACGCAUAGAUAUACCAAAUGAGCAAAGGCACAAGCAACACCAAGGACCACUCUGGUCCAGGCAAAAGAACAAAGGAGAUAAACGAAGCAAAUAAAAAAUGCGAGUGAUUCUACACAGCAAGAAAAGCUAAACAGAAUAAUGCAUACUUGUCCAUGGACUCAACAUGGCAGAACUAAAUUGGCAAACACUCGAUACAAAGAGGAUAUGCUAUAUCAAUGGAGGUAAAAAAUUAAGUAAACUGUAAAAGUAUACCCAUAGUCUCAUACCAUGAUUUAUGAUUUAUUAGUGUCGAACCCAAUAAAUAGUCUAAGCAGAUUCUGUUCAAUCCCUACACAUUAGCACACACAUCAUAAAGUAAAAUUCAGGAAAAAAACCAUGAGAGGUAUACAAUAAAUAUACAUGAUAUGCAAACUUCAAAACUAUAUAGCAAAUGAGCAUAUUGCAGAGAGAUAAAUGCAGAUUUGGAAGCAACACAUUCAUAGAUAUGCGGAGUCUAAUUGUAGCAGCAUAUCCUUAUGAGACGGAUACACCUUCUGAACUUCUCUCUAGCCUACACAUGUAGUCUAACGGUAUAGCAGCAGAGUCUAAUAAAUGUAAUGCACAUUCUGAACUUCUCUCUAGCCUACACAAGUAGUCUAAUUGUAGCAGCAGAGUCUAAUAAAUGUAAUUAGAAGCUUACUAAUUUGUCUUAUCUUGCAAGGAAAAUAUAUUCUUCGUACUUGAAGCACGAGUCAAUUUGUCUUUCUUGAGCCCUCUACAGAGAUUAGAAGAACUAUAUUCCAUUAGAACUCAAAACCUCAACCUUUGUUGACUUACCAAACACACAAAAUUAAAUUGCAGAGAAGAAAAAUUUACGUAACCAAACGACACAGGCUAUGAAGACACAUUAUGGAGGCAUAUGAUUAAUAAGAGGAGGGGUUGACUGUAUUUUCCUUCAAAGUGGAGAAAGAGAUUUAUUAAGUUCCCCACCAACCACAAUGGCAACUAUAAUUAGCAAGCAACAACAAUGAAAAGGUGGUAUACUGGAUCCUGGAACACAUACAUGUAUUUCUCCCAAAGCACUAACCUGAACAGGGCUAACCUGAACAGGUAUUGCAAUGCACAGAAAACUGGGCACGCCCUACAAACAUCGAUAUGAACCAAAAUACAUAUAUCCUAUCCAGAGCACUAAGUAGGAAACCACCUGGACUAAGAUUGAUAUGCAGAAAGAUACAUCUGAAUCGCAUAAUUGACUUGGUUUCCAUUAUUCGGCAUUUUUAUUGCAACAUUUCACAUACCACUUCAGCCCAACAGUUGCCAAACAAAUCAAAAGAAACAAAAAGGAAGUGAACAUGCAUCUAUCAAGAGAGCUAUAUAUUUCAUAAUUAGCAGAGUACAUCAAACACAAGCACACCUCAUGAGAUAGAUAUGUCAGUUCUAGCUAGUGCUCUUUCCCAUACAAGAAAAGAAAGAUUGCAUCUACAUAUGAAAAAUUAAGUUCAACUGCUUUCAGCAUAUGGAUCAAAUCAACAACAAGCUAUAACAAACUUCAACAUAGGCCAGCAGUGAAACAAUAGGGGAUUUUUUUUACCAAAAACAACAGCAUCAAGCUGCUUGCCGCAUGGCUUGUAGGAUUAGGAACUUGACUCAUACAUACUUCAGGUGAGCAGGAAGCAGCGCAUGGGCAUGGAGGUGGCAAAGCUUUUACUUCCUCUUUUCCUCCUGCUCCAUUCUUUUUCCACAUCCGAGGAACAACAUCCACGUACCAAGAAACGACCCUGGCAUGAAACCCUAACCACCACAAUGUGCAGCCGAAAAUAACAACCAGGCGUGAGCCACGUAUAUGUGCACAACAGCAGGGAGAUUGAAAGAUCAAAAAAAGCAAGGAAGAACACACCUUUCCCAUGGUGGCAACCGAGCAAAUGGCAGACGGCGUGCGGGGUCAGAUCCGGAACCAGAGGUGGAAGGCGAGGAGGAGCAGCGCCGAGGCGACGGCGGAGACGACGAGAAGCCGCGGCCGCGCUGACCCCCUGGGCCAUGCCGCCCGCGCCGCGUGCCAUAUGCCGCCGCCUUUGCCUCGCCUCGCCAUUCCUCCUUCCCUCCCGUGGGAACCGGGGCCGGGGCGGGGCGUUAGGGUUUUGGAGGCGCCAGAUCGGAGGGGUGGAAGGAGGAGAACGCGAGGGGAGGAGGUCGGGCGGCGGCGGGGAAGGAGGCAGUGAUGGCGGCGCUAGGGGCGAGAGGAGGAGAGGAAGGCGCGGGUGUGGGCGGUGCUAGGGGGAGAGGAAGAGGAGAGGGAGGCGGGGGUGCGGGAGGAGGAAGGCGGCGGCUAGGGCCCCACGGCGGAGUGGCUGCAAUAUGUACAUGUAAGUGAAAUUACUAAAAUGCCAUCGGUGGGGCAUGGAAAUUACACGCGGUGGCACGAGACGGGAGAUCCGACGGCCGAAAUACAUUGCUUCAUCGCCGGCUCUUGAUCCGGCGGCCCAGAUCUGUCCAUCGCGAGAUCCGACGGACGAAAUCGCUUCAAGGAAUCGAUCAGACGGCCAGGAGGCCCAAAUCGCUGAGAGAACUCAGGUUUCGCCUCCUCUCGUUUUUCUGGAUGUUGUUGUUUGGCAGCGGUGUGUGCGUUGAGACAUGCUGAGCCAAAACUUUGUUUGGCAGCCUGCAUGUGUUUAGACAUCCUGAACAAGUUCGAAUUCCGAAUAAAUUUUUUGAAUGAUGAAGAAAAUUGAAAAAACAUGAACAAAAAUUUAAACAUAUUUUGAAAUUCUAAACUUAUAUUGAAGUUGUGAGCAAAAUUUCAAAUUCUAAACUUUUUUGUAAAUUUGUGCUAGGGUACGGCUGUCCAGUCCGACGUGGCGGACGCACCCGGGCACCCCCAUAUCCGACCUACAUUUGGGCUCGAUAUGGGGGUGUCGGUCAGCCCGGGCGUUUGACGCCCGUUUGAGAAGCCCAUCUGGGUCGCUUUUUUGUGACCGGACACUGACCGGGCCGUCUGUCCGGACAUUUGAGGUGGGUUUGGGGUGCCCAACUGUAGAUGCUCUAAGCAGUCAAUCAGUUGAUCUAUGCCGACCAUUAGCCAGGUCGACGGUCGUCUGAUCAGCUUCUUUGUAACCGUUGGAUUGCGUCAACACAACUUCCUUCGUACGCCUCGCCAUCUUCCUCAUGCAUCUCACCGCGUGUCUCCCCACAUGCCCCCCACCCAAACUCGCCAAAGUAGACCCCUUGCAGCAUCGGCAUCGCCGCUUUUAGCUGAGGCGGCGACCCCCGUUGCAACACCGGUGGCUCUCUGUUCCGUGGCAUCGGCCGGUUGCAUCACUGGCAGCGUCAUGCGGCGCCGACAGAGACCCCCUUGGAGCACCUUCGACCCCCUUUGCAACAUGGCGAUUGGCAUGUUUCAACACCUUUGGCGUGUUUGUCGCAUGCAGUGCCGAAGAUGACAACCCUUGUCCAAUGACGCUCUUGGAGCACGGCUCGACACCCUCGCAGUACUAUGUCGGUCUCGUCGACUCGCAAUAAUGCUCACAUGGUGCCUGUAGCAUCGGGCGGCGAUCAUUGAAGCACCCUUGUAGCAUCGUGCAACCGGCUCGCAACAACGAGUGAUGUGUGGUGGCCCACUUGUCACACUCGACCAACACACAAUGCAAGCUUCGAGAAUGGCAGAGAGGAACAAUGAUUGUUGCAACCUUUGGCUUGUGACAACAAUGCCACACACGACUGAUAGUGUGGUUGGUUCCGAGUUUCAGAAAUGGUGCAGGCAGCGAGGCAACAUGGAGAGAGAGAGAGAGAGAGGAAGAGAGUGACGAGAGAGAGAGAGGGAAGGAGGAGAGAGAGACGAGGCUAGUGAGUGACGAGGAAAUGGGUGAAAAAGAUGCCCGAGAAGAUUAAAAAUUAAGACAAAAAAUAGUUACAGGGAGCCGGGGAAAACGGUGUGCAGGACCACACGAUGUCGCACGAGCGAGGGGACUGCUUUCUCCUUGCAAUCAGUGGGCUACGUAUAGUAUUUUUCCUUCAUAUAAUGAUAGCACGUACAAGUCAAUUAUCUAGAAAUGUUUCAUCUUUCGGUAGAUUUGACGGAGCCUAUGGAUUGCUCUUUCUUCUUCCUCCCCCAACUUGGCAUGGUUCAUCUUCUUCCUCCCUGCAUCUUCUCCCACGGCGAUGUCCUGGCGUACCGCGUCAUCUUCGCCUCCAGUGAUGUUCUAGUGUCCCAAGCUCGAGCUCGCUUGGCUAUCCAAUCCGAGCGGCAGCAAAAACGAAAAAGCCCCCACCCGGACUAGUCAACCCUCAUCGCCGUCUUUGCCGACAAACUGUUUCGUCCCUUUCUCUGGCAAGGUCCUGGCUUGUCCUUACCGGGGAUGCCACAGCGGUGUCAUCCCUAUAUUCUGCUUUCGUAUCUGCACCCAAAUCGACUAAGCGCUUGGGACCUCCUACUUGAUAUACUCGGUGUCAAAAUAAGAGCGUGACACACAUGGUAGACAAAACUAGGCCGUCCCAUUGGGUGGCACCGCAACGAGCGGAUGUACAUAUCGCCAAAUGUGCGUGCUUUUUCAAAAUUUCUUUGGAAUAAAAAAAUACUUGUCUUCAAAAAAUGUCAGGAACUUGGAAAAAAUGUUUACCUUUUUAAAAAAUUUGUCCAAAAGAUUUUUUAAAAGGGACUAAAAUUAGAAAUACCAAUCAAAAUUUGAAAUGAUGAACAUUUUUCAAAAUUCCCAACAAUUUUUGAAUUUGUGAGGAAAUUUUGAAAUUCCGAACAAUUGUGAAAACACAAAGUUUUCGAAAGGUGAAUGCUUUUUAAAAUUUGCGAUUUUUUUGAAAAACAGGAGAUUUUUUGAAAAUUCAAUUUUUUGGAAAAAUAAAAUUAAACUUGAAAUAUACAAAAAUAAAACAAAAAAGUAAUAAAACCUGUUCAGGUUCCUGAAACCGGUAAAAACCUGGGUUAUAACCUUCCAAAGUUUCCCAAAACCUGUUGCAUUGAUUGGUUUGCUGUCUAAAAUUGGCCGGCCCAUGUCGGUCGCUGUUGUGCGAAUCAACGACAACUUGACGCUUGCGUCAAAUAGGGAAUUCUUAAGCACUUCUCAAUUUAAUCAGGUGAAUGAGAAAUUUUAAACAGCGUAAUGGGCCAGUUUUCAACUGACCGGGAACCAUCUUUUAUCAGAAUGGGCCGAGGACAUGUAUGUUCGGCCGUCUUUAUAGUGGGCAGAUUUUUUUUUUUUUUGACUUGUGGGCUGAUUCAUUUCUUGCAAACUGGUUGUAGUAUGCUUGUCUUUCUUCUACUCAGAGAUGCAGACCAUAAUUCAACAAUGUCCCGUCAAUCUGCUGAUGUUUUACGUGCCGUAAACAUGUCGGAAAAGCGUCAGCAGAUAAUUGUUACACCUCGAUCGGCUUGGCAGAGAUCCCGAUAAGGAUGUGGCACCAGGGCACGAGGCAGUAGUUUUCACAAGAUACGUGCAUGUGUAAACAACGGCAGCGCUGAACCAGUACGAGGAGUGACCACUCCAACGAAGGCGAUCGAUCCUCCAAUCCACAUGCUACCAGGAAAUAAGACAAGCAUGCAUGGUCGAUCGAUCCUCCAAUCCACAUGCUACCGGAAAAAAAAACGUUGCAAUUGCUGUAAGCACGCAACGAACGCUUCGUCGCGGCUCUAUCGCUGCGAGGGCGACGCGCGGAAGGAACGAUAGAGAAAUCAGCACAUAUAUUGAGGAGAUUGGCGUCAACCAUACAAUAAAAAGCCUUGGAGAAGCAAAUGUAUGACAGAGCUAAUCAUACAAGCAACACCUCGCCAUACAAUCAAGUUUAUACACGGUACAUCCCUUUGAAUGUUUUUGCUUGACAUUCCCUCUAAAUUCACUAAUAAUUUUUUUUGCGGGAAAAUUCACUAAUAAUUAAGCGGUGUAUAAGACAUAGUUUCAGUGACAUUUUUGUACUUCGACUGUGACCAUCACUUCUAGAGUUUUAUUGUUUAUAUUAAAAGCCUAGGAACCAAAUAUAUAAAUCUUUGUCUCAAAUUUUCCAGGGUUUUAUGCCUAUACUAGUGCAUUUUCAGAGUCAUUUAUCAAAGCUAGUACAUCUUAAGAGUUGUGUCAUUGCCCAAAACAUGCAUCACUUAUUUCUGAACCAGGACGUAACUUUCCAUUAUUAUAUAAUCUCUCCUUUGUGCCGGUUCUUCCCACGUGUCUAGCUUAAUGAGAAGAUAAACCUGGUCCCGUAGGGACUUUUUUUUGUCAGGAACAUAAUUGGAAAGGUGAGUUUGUAUAUAUGCUCCCCACGGAUUAUCUUUUUAGUUUUAGUCCAACUUAUAAGUUUUCACAUGGCCAGCAGAUGGCAUCCAUUAUCUGAAUAUCAAAUGAAAUUUAUGCAUGCUGGGGAAUCAUCUGAAAUGGCAGACACAUAGACAGCAACAACACAAUCAAAAAGCAAAUGGUAAUUAGUUCCAUCCAAUCCAAGUGACAAUACUGGCAAGGUAUAGUACCUUCCAGCUUCCCUUUUCUUGAUAUAGUUCUUGGUGGCAAUUGCAUUAUGCUGAAUUAACCACACCCAUGUCUUUAUCUUCCAAGGGAAUUAUGCUUUUCAAAUUUUGUUUGAUGGGCGUAUCAGGUUUGCAUUUUAAAAUGCGAGCAUAUGUAUGCUCUUCAGUCCUCACGGAAUACUAUCUUUUAUAUUUGGCCAACUUAUAUGUUGACAUAUACUGUAAAAUCAAGAACGGCUGUAUAUAUAUCACCCUCUUGUCCCGGCCGUUUGGUGCCACGACACAUAAACCUUGUAGCCACCGGCGUCACCCAGCCAUGAGCCGCCCGCACGCGGUGCUUAUCCCGUACCCGGCGCAGGGCCACGUCACGCCGCUGCUGCACCUCGCCAAGGUGCUGCACUCCAGGGGAUUCUACGUCACCUUCGUCAACUCGGAGUACAACCACCGCCGCCUGCUCCGGUCACGCGGCGAGGACUCGCUCGCCGGCCUCGACGACUUCCAGUUCGAGACCAUCCCGGACGGGCUGCCGCCGAUCGAGAACGAGGACGUCACGCAGGACGUCCCCGCGCUCUGCACGUCCUUUGCCACGCACGGCGCCGCGCUCUUCAGGGACCUCCUGGCGAGGGUCGACGACGGGAGGCCGCCGGUGAGCUGCGUGGUAACGGACGGGGUGAUGAGCUUCGCGCUGGAGGUGGCCGGCGAGAGGGGCGUCCCGGCGUUGGUGUUCUGGACCACCAGCGCGUGUGGGUUCAUGGGGUACCUCCACUUCUUCGAGCUCAUCGAGAGAGGCUACGUGCCACUCAAAGGUACCACACUCACUACGUGCUCCAUGGAGUUUGUGAUCGGCUGCAAAUUAUAACUGCGCUGCACAUGUCGUAGACGAGAGCUGUCUGACCAACGGAUACCUCGACACGGCGCUCGAUUGGGUGGCCGGGAUGCCGGGCAUAAGGCUGCGAGACUUCCCCAGCUUCGUCCGCACGACCGACCGGAACGACGUCAUGCUCAACUUCGACGGCGGCGAGGCGCAGAACGCGCACCGCGCCCAGGGCAUCAUCCUCAACACGUUCGACGCGGUGGAGCAGGACGUCGUGGACGCGCUCCGCCGCAUCUUCCCGCGCGUGUACACGGUCGGCCCGCUCCCGGCGUUCGCGGUCACCGCGGCGCGGGCGCGGCCGGAGCUGGACGCGAUCGGCGGCAACCUCUGGAAGGAGGACGCGAGCUGCCUCCGGUGGCUGGACGACCGGCAGCCCGGCUCGGUCGUGUACGUCAACUUCGGCAGCAUCACGGUCAUGUCGCCGGCCCACCUCGCGGAGUUCGCUUGGGGCCUGGCGCGCUGCGGGCGCCCGUUCCUGUGGGUCAUCAGGCCGGACCUCGUGGCCGGCGACAAGGCCGUGCUGCCGGAGGAGUUUCUCGCCGAGACGAAGGACCGAGGGAUCUUCCUGAGCUGGUGCCCGCAGGAACAAGUCCUGGGGCAUCCGGCGACCGGGCUGUUCCUGACGCACUCUGGGUGGAACUCGACGCUGGAGAGCAUCUGCGCCGACGUGCCGAUGGUCUGCUGGCCCUUCUUCGCGGAGCAGACGACCAACUGCCGGUACGCGUGCGCCGAGUGGGGCAUCGGGCUGGAGAUCGAUAGCGACGUGAGGAGGGAGGAGGUGGCAAGGCUCGUGCUGGAGGCCACGGACGGCGAGAAAGGCAAGGACAUGAGAGCGAAGGCGACGAUGUGGAAGGAGAAGGCCGAGGCGGCGGCAGAGGCCGGCGGGACUUCGACUCUUGGCAUCGACCGCCUCGUCGCAUUCUUGCUUGGAGGGACCGAUGAUCCUAAAAGCUGAAAACGUUGUUGUCCUGUUGAAUCAGCCCCCUGAUCAGUGUGAUGGGUAUAUGGGGUUGGAAACUACAGUAUGAUGUAACCAUUUCCCCCUGUUUAAAACCGUUGUGCGUCCAUAUCAACAGUAUGCAAGAUAAACUAUGCUUCUACAAUGUUGUUUUCUCGGUGCUGUACGUAUUUUCACCGGUCUUUCUGAAGAACAUUUGUCUAUCCUGUAACAGUAAUAGUGUCGAGUGUCGCAGGAACAAAAGAACACCAUUCAUACUCGUAGACAUAGAGAAGACGACUACCAGCAGAGCAUGCCUCCGGGACUUAUUCUGGCGAAUUCCAUUUUCUGGCGUGAAAUUCAGUUUCGCAGUACAAUGGGUUCACCAAAUAAAUGCAGUGCAGAAAUAGGAAAAGAAUCAGAAACAAUGAAAGAACAAAUAUUUGGAUGCUAUUUUUUUUCCCAGUCAAGAAACGAGUAUUUUGGUACUCCUUUGCGAACCACUAAUAGUCCAGUCCAGAUCGGCAUCAAAUCAUUUUGGCGGAGUUUUCAGUUCAGCGAGUCAGUUGGAGGUGUUUUCCUCUGAAUUUGAUCUUUCAACAGGCGCUGACGCUUCUUGGUUAUCUGUGUUUGUAGCCUCAGCCUCCGGUACUGUCUGAGUUGGUUGUGAGCCUGCAACAUAUAGCAGCAGAAAGCCAUGAGUUUACUUCAAAGUUCGAUCAAAUAAGAUGGGAACAUAGUCGCUUAUUCGACAUAUGAAUAGCAUGAGUAUGACAACAGCAAAAUGCUUAUUUAUUUUGGUGGUCUGAAAACUGAGGGUGACAUACCGGAUACAUCAUCAGACUGCCUUGAGAUUGCACGAGGGGGCAACUGGAGUCUGAAAUUAGGAGGGAGCGAAGGCGCUGCCUGGAAAGAACCCUCGGCCGGCUGCUGAAAGAACGGCGGCCGCGCAGCUUGCUGCUGCAAUGGCGAGAAGCCGGCCCUUGGAUUCUGGCCACUUGUCAUGUACCCCAUGUAUGGGUAUGGUGAUGUUGAAGGGGAUGUUUGGCCAUACUGCUGAGAGUAGUUUUGCUGCAUUUGAUUGUAAAAGGCCUGCAUAAAAAAUUUCAGACAUUGCAUGAAUUCAGUCAGUUCUAACAUAAGUGGGUCUGUAUUGUGCUAGUGUCUGACUUUGGUCGACAAUUUGUGUCACUUGUGAUUUGCUAAUUCCAUUGGAAAUCCAAUGCAGCUAUCCACAAGAUUCAAUGUUGAAGAUUGCUGGUAUUCAAACUUUCAAAAUUAAGGGGUGACUAAAAAAAUCCUGAUUUCAGAUUAUUUACACUCAUACAGUGCAAUUUCCCAUACUUCUAUAUAUAUGUAUGUUGGGCACUGCUGGUAUUUUAAAGAGCUGAUAUACAAAGGAGCAGUCGCAUGUGGUGGAAUAAAACAAGAGAAAUGACAAAAUUGAAAGAGAUGAAUAUAGUGCUUACCUGCUGGUAUUGAUAAUCAGGUGGGUACCAGUACCUGCAAAAGUUUACAUAACUUCAUCAGCGCCUUACUAAAAAGAUCGAUAUGGUCAAGCCAAGCACGAGCUCACUAUUAUCGAUCAGAGACAUAUGUACCAACAACCAUGGCUGUAAAGCUCAAACUUCUUAUAUCAGACACUAAGGUAUGUGUCCAGCUAAAACUAGGACCAUAUCAAACGAACACUCCUUCCUCUUACUUCCAUUUUUUGCAGUACAAUACUGGUAUUAGAGCAACUCCAAUGGGGCGACCCAUUUCGUCCGCCCGCGUCCGUUUGGGUCGGCGCGGACAAAAGUGGCGGCCCAACGCGCCGACCCAAACCCAUUUCACGUCCGUGUCGCGUCCACGCCGACGCAUUUGCGGCCCAAAUUUGCGCCUGGAAUGCGUCGGCGCGGACGCGAAGCGGACGCGCCGCGCGUCUCCUCGCCGUCCGCCGCGUCCCCACCUGGCGGCCACCCAACCGCCACCGGUCGUCUUAUUUAUGACGACCACCGACAGCGGGCCCACGCGUCAGCCAGUGCGCGCGUCCUUUUUUAACCACACGUGCGGCGGGGUCGGCCUCAUGCCGAUGCCGCUCAUGGGGCGGGCCUUGACGCUCUCAAGGGUGGCGCAAAACUUGUUGCACUCUUGUUGGAUCACCCUCCACCGCUUGAAAAUGGAAACCCACCCGCGCGUGCUCACAAAUUGGUAAGGUGGAAACUUCUUGCGCUCAUGGAACUCUCGGUGCACACGAGUCCAAAAGGUCGAAUGCUUUUGCUCGGCGCCUGUCUUCGGGUCUUGUCCAAUGUCGCGCCAACACUCGCAAAGAAGCUUGUCUUCGGCCGCCGUGUACGCCUUCGUACGCUUGCUCUUGCGCUUGGGCUUAGGACCGGCGGCUUGGUUGGCGAGCUCGUCCUCGAACAAAGGCUCCACGUCGAUGUCGCACUCGUCCUCUUCCUCUAGCCCGUAUUCGUCCGGGAACUCGUGGUCGAGGGGGAAGCCGUCCAGGUCGACGCCGACCUGAUCACGCAUGAAGGCCGCCUGGUCCGGAUCAUAGCCAGCGGCCGGCGUGAACGCCCCGCGGCCGUCCUGGCUUUGUGUCUCAUCGGGAUCGUAGCCAGCGCCUGGCGCACCGCUCUCGAAGAUGAGGUUUUGCAUGAAGUCCUCAUCGACGGCGGCCGGCAUUCCCUCGAACAGGUUACGGGCGUCUGGGAGCCCGUCGGCCGGCGUCUGCCGCGCGCGUUUCCUCGUGCCGCCUGACGACGAGCCACCAACCACCGGGGUGGCGUUGAGGUCGAUGGGCGCUGGCGCAGGCGUGGAAGGCGCAACCACGCUCACGUCGGGUGAGCACUCCCCGGAGAGGCGAGAGGCCUGCGGGUAGACGUGGAAGCCGGGGAGUGGGUUGCAAGCCGACGCGCGGGGUGACUCGGGCAGCACCAUCCGAGGAAACGCCGACGAGCCGGUGCUGGCCGCGGCGACGGCGGCUUGGACGAGGCUGUGCUGGCUAGGGUUUACCCCUAGCAUGUAGAGCGCCUCCCUCGUUGCCGCCGCGACGCGGGCAUUGGUGAACUCCUGCUGCGCCGCGGCGGCGGCGGUGGCGGCGGCCUCAUCCCUCGCGUCCGCGGCGUGCCUCCGGCCCUUCCUCUUGGCCGACUCCCUUGCCCGCUGUUCGGGCGUCAGCGCCUUCUUCGGCUUGGUCGCGGCGGCGGUCUUGCGCGGGGCACGAGGCUUGCCUUUCCCGGAGGGGGCGACGGCGCCGGACGAGGCGAGGCCGGCGGCGGCGUCGAGGUCGAGGUCAAGGUCGAUGGCGUCGUCCAUGGUUAGGGCGGGAGCGAGCGCGCGGACGGGACCGUUUUUGGGGAAAAUGGUGGUGGCUGCCACCGACCGGCGGGCCCAGGGAGAAGAGUAGCCGCGCGCGCGUCCGUCUCGUGUCCGCGCCGACGCAAAUCAGGCUCAAAAUUGAGCCGGGAAUGGGUCGCCCGCGAACGAAAAACGGACGCGCGUCCGUUUGGGCCGCCACUUUUGUCCGUGCCGACCCAAUCGGACGCGGGCGGACGAAAUGGGUCGCCCCAUUGGAGUUGCUCUUAGCACUCCCGUUUUCAUUAAAAAAAAGUGCUUGCUUGCAAGAAUCUAAACACCACUGGUUGGCUAAUCACAGGUCCAAGUAAAAAAAUGGCCCAAUAAAAUAGCACUAAAGAAAAGGGAUAUGGCCAUGCAUAUGUGAGUAGAAAUGCAGAAACCUCAUGCUAUUUGUACUUUUUCCUUGCCACUCAUCUACUUGUUCCGGGACAGACCGGUCAAGGAAUCCUGCGCCAACGAUCUGUACUGCAGGCUGCCCAUUCCAAUAAAUUUCACAUACGGGGUACGUCAACCGCAACCCAACAGCAGUGCUGCACCAAAAAUAUAGCCAAGUGGCACCAGGGAUCUGGACGCAGGCACGCAUUAAACUCUCGAGGCCUCUAAAACUCUCCCAGCAAAGCAAGCCAACGGAGCGCAGAGAGCGUUCGCAGGCAGGCAUGGCCACACCCCAUGCCCAUGGUGGUCUAGACUAGGAGAAGUCAGCAGAUGGUGAGACGGUGGGCCCCACCGGGGUUGAAUGGCCGUCGCCGAGGCCACAUUUAUGAACGGGCCUCCCAUGGGGGCCCAACGCGCGGGCCCGGCCGUGCUUCCUUGGUAUCCGAAAACCCAUCAGUCCAAUCAAGGAAGCGGCAGCUGAAGCCGAAAGCUGCGGCGCGAAAGCAACCCGACCUGAGUGCUGACCUGACCUCGCUCGCUCCGAGCAGCAGCAGCGUCUAGUCAGUCAGUCGGGUUCGGUAACUGCCCCAUCAGAUACUACAAUAAAGAGCAACUACCAACAACGCCUACGACUACGUAGUGUGUUCUUCUUCACUUCAGCUAACCGACCGGUCGUGGUCUAGGAGAGUAGGUGCCUAUCACCCAGCCGUAUCAAACUGUUUACCUCAGGAUGAGCAUAUCUCUGCACCACAAAAAUGAAACCAGGAACGUCUAUGUUGCUUCUUCACUUCAGUUAACGGAUCAGUCGUAGUCUACUGUCUAGGACUAGUUGCCCAUUGUAUUACACCACCAUAUCAGACGCCGAGACACAAACUAAUUUACCUCAGGGUCAGCAUUUUCUCUGAACCACGAAAAAUACAACCACUGUGACGUGGGGCCGUCGCUACCAAACCAUGCUUUGCACCCAUCACUGUGUGAGUUAUUUUUCAACUAGUGCUACCUUAUUACGAAACUGGGACAUUAACAACAGGUCUUGCACCUGCCCAAGUGAGGGUUCAGAACUUGCAGCGCACCCAGACCCCACGAUGCGUAGUGUACGAUGAUGCAUUGCGAUUUUAAAGCGGAGCUGACAGUGAUACAUAGAGUAGACAGUAGUACAUGGGGAUAUGGCACUCACCCGUACGGUGAAGGGUUGUAGAACGAAACUGCUACGUAGACGAUGCAUGUGUGCACGACACUAGGACGACGGGCAGUCCAGCCGCUGAUAUGCGCUGGAUAGUAUGCAUGGACGGCUUGAUAUGUGCUGUCGUGCACGAGUCGUCCGCACGGCGUCGUGUGUAUAGCAGCGCUGGUUGUAGAACAUGGCGUGAGGCGGGGUGGGCAUCUGCUGCUGCUGGUGGUGCAUCCUGCCGCCCAUGUAUGGCUCUGGGCCCGAGUGCUGCUGAUCCGGCCCGCGCGGGGCCCGCCCUGCAGAGGCACAAACAAAUAAUUUAGACAUUUUUGUCUCAAAUUUUUUUUUACACAUUUUACACUAUUCUUGGACUGCAUUGUCUAAAAAAAAGAACUAUUGUUGGGCUGCAGAGGAAGCAACUCACACCCAAACAAACAAACAAAUAAAUGUGCUGUGAAGAGGCAGCGGAUCACGCAUGUAUUGCAGGCAGGACGGGACGGCAGGGGGGCCACGCGGCCAGGUGUUGCAAAACAGUUGGAUGGAUUAUGCACCGGGAGGGAAAAUACCAUCUGCCCUACUACGUUGUGCCGGGACACACAUGCAUGGAUGGAUGGAUGAUUUCCUACGCUCCUGUAUCUUUUCCUCAGGCUAAUCAAUUGCCUGGCUAAAACCUUUCGGUUUUUCAUGAAAGAAAAACGAUAGGGCGCCAGGUGUGCACCUCUGUCUGCAUUUGGCCAAUUCUUCACUUUCAAAUAAAAGAAUCUUCUCAAAAGAAUAAUAAUAGAGGAAUUGUGGAGAUUUCUUUAUGUACACAUUGUAGAUUAGAGCAGUGCCAAAUAAUGCAAGACUUUUCUUAGCUAGCUUGCACUACAACCUACGCCAGUCUGGUACUGGUGUGCUGUACUGCACUCUAACCAUACAUUUUUUUGAAAAUACUAUUAAAAAACAGCAUGCAAACCCAGCUAUUAUUUCUGCGAGGGAAAAGUCAAUUGUUAUAUCAUGAAAGAAAAGAAUGAGAAAAGUUCAGUGCAACACUGCCGUUCACCCAAUCAUUUGGAAUUCAGAAAGAAAACUCCCAAAUCAAUAUCAUGAGAGACCAAUUCAAGCAAACGCAGCGAGCUGAAGCAAUCCAAGCAACAUGCAGCAUCUAUACAUAUAUAUUCCCUCAGAGUCGUUGACAACCACCAAACUAAACCCUGUCAAAGGCAAGGUACGAGAUUUGUAUAUGCAAUGGAACUCUUUUCCGAUGCCGUGCGCUGAUCUUGACCAGAAAGGCAAAGCGGCCGGGUUCCUGAUUCUCCCUCCAGCGAUAGCUAACAUGCACCACCCCCCUUUACACCGCAUUCCCGCUGGAACGCUUCAUCAAAUCAAAGCCAAUUCUUUCCCAAUAUGCAGCAACAGCAAAAUGCUAGCUCAGACCCGUCCAUCAUAACCACCAUUUGAUGCUCCCCAAAAAAGAUCAAUCCGUAAUGGGUUUCUAUAUCAAUGUUUCUAUACUUUAACCAUGAAAUUGGCAUAUGUUUGACUAUGUCUAGAGAAUUCUAGUUAUAUCUUCAUUCAGGCACAAGACUGAAAACAGAAAAUCACAGUCAAAAUCUUCAACUGAAGAAGAAGAGCUAUAUAUUUGUGGAGGCCGGGGUGGUAACUGAUAAGUAGUCAAAAUCAGUACUUCGAUCCCCGCUUAUCAUGUCGCGGUUAUUACUGCUAAUUAGAGUACUGUAUAGCAGUAACUGAAUGCAGAGGCCAGGCUGGCGAAGCACGACCCAACCCAACCCAGCAGAGCACAGCCAUGAGGCAUGAGUGUGCAUGUCUGACAGCCUGAGCAUGCCGCCCCUCCCAAUGCAGGCCAAAGUGCUCCAAGUCGUCGUCCUGCUUCGCCUCGGCUGGCGCCCCAGUCUUUUAAAGCUUUCAGCAGCUGUAGCCGGGCCCCGCCCAUCCGCCCAUUAACGCAAUGUUAAUGGAUCAUCUUAUCCUAACGUGCUGGCUAACACGCAAGGAGAAGAAGGAGAAGGAAAGACGCGAGCCCUAAUCAAGCUUAUCCUGCUAAUUACGUACGGCCGAUCCCCGCUGAUCAUGUCGCGGUUAUUACUGCCAUGCACAUGCGGGGGAGAAGAAAAAGGAAGGCAUUUAUUCGGUGUUUUUUUUUCACUGUUGCUCACCUCUCUGCGGCGACGGCCGCGGCGGGCCCAUAGACGCAAUGUUGCAGUUGGCGCGCCGGCCGGCGAUCAUCGGGUUCGGGUUCUGCACCGCCUGCUGCGCCGACUCCGGGUCCCGGAACGUCACCUGCACACACAGAGAAGAGAAGAUGGGAACCCGCCCGAUGAGGACAACGGACGGAUCGCCGGCGAUGGCGUAUGUAUCGGCGAGAGGGAGGGAGAGGGGGGAGGGAGGAGGACGUACGAAUCCGUAGCCCUUGGAUCGGCCCGUCUCGCGAUCGGUGAUGACGACCGCCUCGAGUAUCUCGCCGUACUCCCGAAAGUGGUCGUGCAGCCCCGCGGACGGCGUCUCCCAGGCCAGCCCGCCAACGAACACCUUGGUCAGCGUGGUGUCGCCGAACCGCGACCGGUGGUACGGCACGCCGCCGCCUCCUCCUCCUCCACCUCCACCCGGCGCCUGGGUCGGCGACGAGGCGCCGCCAGCCGGGGACGACGACGAUGCCGCCGCCGUCGCCGCCAUCUCUUCCAACUGUAGCUUGCUAGGACGCAACCCGCGAACGCGCAGCCGAGUCGACCCUCGUUCCUCCGCUUCUCCUCGCUGUUUGGGUCUUGGGGAGGACCCAAAUAUUGCUGGGAUCAAACUAUUACACGGAUAGCUGAGCUAACCUGGACUCUGCAGGAGACUUUACCCGAUUGGUCCGUCCGCGGUCAGCCUAGCACUGGUUUUGGCCGGGCCGGUUUGGUCCGAUCCGGAAGGCUCUCUUGCACAAACACCUCCCGGCUAUCUCUCUUAAUCGCUCGAUCCGGGUGGAAAGCUGCUCUUCCAUAACCCAGCCGCUGCGCCUCGGAAGAGAUGGGGGAGGGGAAGGAUAUCACAACUGGGAGGGGAGGGAAGGGGGCGGCCGUGCGCUGGACGAGAGGGUUCCGGGGUGGGAUGACAGCUGCAUGACCCUUUUCUAGCCCUCGUUUCCAAUGGCUCCCUCCUGGUUGUAUUCCAUUGCGUUCAAAUUCAAUUCUUUUUCUCGAUAGAGAGAUAGAGGCGCUGGAGUCGUAUCAUCAUCGUAGCGCCAGCCACCUUCCCCCACUUGGGCGAUUCGCGCUGCCCCGACCUGUCCCUCUCGCGCCUCUCGGCCGAUCGAUCGAUCCAGGCAACAACGGAGUAGUACUACGCCUACUGAUUAGCGCGCCAAGCGGCGGCACGUCUGCUGCUACGGGCGCGCGCGUGUGGUGCGCGAGCUAGGUGCACCACCUCUUGGGUUGCGGUUGCUUGCGGGCUUGCUUCUCUCCUCCGGCUUGCCCGCGUCGGACACGCCACUUUUAUUUUCGCCUCGUGCGGAAAGGCCCCACACGCUAGCGCCAUCGGACGGUACUGCGGCGAGAUUGGCCGGGGGGAGGAACCAACGCCGACCGUGCGUGCCUACUUAGCUGUACUACUAGCUACGCAUUGGUUUGCUAUAAUGGGAGUCUAGCUGAUUAAACACUAGUAAUAAAAGCGCGGUGAUGUAUACGGAAUAUGUACUCGGGGUUACGUAUACGCGUACGUGUACCGGUCGUCAUUUGUUGGCUAUAUGUAUAUGAUAAUUAGUGGGAAGGGAAUUUGUGUGGAAAGAGCAACCAGGAGCGAGCUGUCGUGGAUAUCACUAGGGGGGUUGUCCAUGCAUCGUUGGCGACUCUUCUGGCGUUGACCGUGGAGAUGGUCGUUUCUCUCCGGCUGGCAGGGCGGGGAGGAAGGUACGUCGUUAGUUAGUCGUUAUUAUCCACGAGACGAGAUUAGCAGCGAGCCAUCGGGGCGAUGUCAGUGGCGCUUCCGUCCGCUGCGCUAGCUGGUGCAUUGCUGCCGUGGACGCCAUUAAGAGAUUAUCAAGGGGCGUUCGCCUUGGCCUCUCGGCCAAACCUUGAUCCACUGUGGCUGCUCUAAGACAAAUGUGUAAAAUUCCUACUUCUAUACUACUCCCUUCGUCCCGUGAUGUAAAGAUGUUUUUACAAGCUUAGUCUUAUAUUAUUGGAUGGAGGAAGUAGUACUAGUUUGUAUGUCGGUUUGUGAGGAAAAUGUCCUAAUAGGAUCAGUGAAAUCCCAUUUGAGAGCUUAUGCAAAGGUUUUUGGUUUGAAUAAAAAAAAGUUCUUGGUUCGGUAUAUAUAUUCCAGCUGAGAGCUUAUGAAAUUCCACCUGCAAUCUCUUCACACUUGUUCUAUGCCACAUCACUAAAAAAUUCCUAUGCAGCAAUUAUUACCACAACUAUUGAAGAUGCUCUAGACGGCCAAAGUACCUCCUCAGGGUCGUUCUACAAAAAAAAAAGUUGCACAGAAAUAUUGUAGUCAACGUUAGGUGUUGCACAUUUCUGGACACUUCGCCGCAUAAUUUUGAAACA
rnacentral:lncRNA from 1 species